rnacentral:lncRNA from 1 species
UGAGAGGGCCAUACUUUCUGGAAAGCUCCCCGAGAUAGAUAUGUGGGGCUGAGGGAUCAAACUGAUGCAUGUUUCCAAUGAUUGGAAUGCCAGGAGGACCAGGGAGAGGUGGAUGAGAUUUUGUUGAUGAUUUCCUGCUGUUUUUCUGAAGAAGAAUCAGGAAAAUUAUGGGAAGAGCUGAAAGUAAAGCAAUGAUCAAUACUAUCUCCAUAACUUCAGGAGGAAGAUUUUCUUGAGGUGGCUGGAAAAUGGCCAUAGAAGUUGGUUUUAAAUAGUCUUUGUUGAGCUUCAAGUUGCUUGAUUUUUUUAAUCUUUUCUUUUCUAGUGUGUAGGGAAAAAAACUACCAUGGCCCAAAUCCAAGAAUAUUACCAUCUUUCUACAUUCUACGUCAACAAUUACUACCAAGCCCAUCUCCAUUAUCACUGUCACAGGCUACCAACUAGACAACUUUGUAACAUUCUUUUCUUUCUACCACUAGAUCCACACUAUCACUAACAAUUCCAUCUAUGUUACUACUAUCAUAAUCCUAAGGCACAUUUUGUCAGGGAAAAAAAUAAGGAGAUGCUCUAGCAAUCCAAAACCCGGAGGGUACUAGCCUGAAAAAAAGUCACGUCUCUGUGUAUACUGUGAUUUUUACAUUCACUUUUAUAUUAAUUAAUUUCAAUAAAAUGCACAAUCAAAGCAUCUACUCAAAUAAGUUUUGUCAAUUGACAAUUGUUUUGAAAUAUCACAAAAAUUUUUCGAACAAGUUUUUUGGAUUUUUUUCUCUUUUAAGAAUAUCGGUUCUUUUCCGUGUAAAAUAGUGAGAAAGUGAAGGUCAUUUUUGGUAACUCAUUAUGUCAAGAGAGGUCAAUAUAAUUUCUCAAAUUAGAGGGAAGCUAGAUGAAAUUGUUAGAAACCUAAGGGGGUUAUCCCUUAAAAUAAUGCGUAUUGGUAUAUUUCAAUAGCUUGUGUUAGUGAAUAUGAGUAUUUGAUUAGUCUAAAAUUUAAUAAUUCCCGAGGCAUUAUUAACUAUUAGUUGGUGGAUAUUACAAAACUUUUGCAGGAUUAUUGUAUUAUUUGUCCGUAAGAAACUAAAUAAAUCUUAAAAUUGAUUUUCAUGUAUAGCUAGAACUUAUUUUUGAAAAUUUACCAGAAAAUUAGUACAUCAUGUUUGAAAAAUACAGAUUUAGCUCCUCUACAGUUGCAAGAGAAACCGGACUAUACAAUUGAUGGUUUGAGAUUGAAUCGAAGUGGCCCUACUCGAUCUCAAUCAUCCAUUUCAAAACUAGUGAAUCUUGAAAUAGAUGGCGGAUAUCAAGCUGUGACACUCUAAUCCAAUCUUGGACCGUCAUAAUGCGGUCCUUGCAACCGUAGGAGAUCUGAAUCCACAAAAUACCGACCCUUGGGGGUUAAAACUAAUGAUCGAAGAAGAAUAAUCCGUAGAAUAUUGUUGGAUGUUUUUCGUGUUGAGGGUUGACUGCUGAAUUUUAAAGCCGAAUGUGUCAUGAUCGUGAACUCACUUGUGACCACCACCCAUAGAGAGAAGCGUGCAAAAUAUUUAGAAGUACGAACCAAUACAUGCCCUUUAGUUAAUCUCCUGGGAUUAGUCUAAUGGUCAGUGGAGGGUUUUAAAAACUAUCUCUGCUGUCAGGUUCAUAUUUGAAUUCUGGGCCUAAUAGCAAGGGAGUGGAAAAGUAACGGGGAAAGAUGGGAGGUCAAAAAAAAUGCCCUUGAGUUGUUUAUUGUGUUUAUUGUUAAGAAUCCCAACACAUGGUCCCAGGGUUUAUAUAAAACUACUUGUUUGGAAAUAAAUUCUACAGCCUUGACCUAAUGCUUGUCAGAGAUGAUUUCGAAUCACAAUAAUUGCAUACGAGUAUCUUUCAUGACUUCAUUUACAGCAAAAGUCAAAGAUUUGAUAUCAUAUAGUUUGCAUAAACCUUUUGUUUCAACAUGUUAAAUUGACCUUCGAACUUGCGUAUUUAUAGCUUAGUCUUGGAAACAGAAAUAUUUAUAGGUUUUUUUUUUUAACGAUUUUUCCACACGGAAGUGAGGUAAAUUUCCUCAAAUGUCCUUACUCAGUCCCUCAACUUAUAUUUUUCUUCAUUUUAGUUGUUGAUCAUUUAUGUUCAAUUUAAAUUAGUCAGUUUAGAUGCUUGACAAAACAAAAUGGUCUUUUACCAAGCAGGUGAUUAUUGAUGGACCCAUGACUUUUAUCAGAUCAAAUUUAUAAUAUAAGCUUGAUGAAGAAUGGACUCUAAAUAUGAGGGUUUUGGGAAUUGCUAUGCCAGCCGUUCUGAGGUUCAUUCUUGUUCCUCCUUCGUGCCAGCUUUUUCAUUUCCUUUCUUGUUUUAACCAAAUUAAAAAAAAACGAAGUACUUGCUUUGAUUCUCAUAUGAGUGCAAUGGAAUGAUGAUUCAUAUAAUAUUGAAUGGUUAAUCUCAUAACUAAUAUUUUCAAACUUUUCAAAAAUUGACGGGGGUAUGUAAUUUAAGAAGAGAUGGAUGGCCAAUAUGUCGUCUUAUUGCAUCUACUAGUUGAUUUAACAUAGAUGUGUUUGGAUAAGAGAUUAUUUGGAAAAAAAAAUAUUUGAAAUAGUACAAAAAUUUUUUUUGUGAUGUAAUGUAUGCCAAAUAAAAGAAUGAUUGGAAAUUGUGUUUAAGAUACAAACUAAAUAAUAUUUGAAAUUUUUUUUUUUUGGCAAAUCAUGCUAACCAAACGGACCUGUUGUUAUAGUUUGGACAAACUAGUAAUUUGGCCAUAUCUCAAGUGACCAAAAAAGAAAGCCAAAUUGCUUAAAGCAAUAAACAACUGCAAGAUCCCCCCCUCCCCCCGGGCGGCGGGGAGCUACAAGAUUUAAAUGAAAUAACAGCGUGGUGCUGUUCUCGCUACAAUUUUUGUAAAAGACUAAAUAAUCAGAAAUACUAAAAGCUAUUAUUGGGUUAUUUUUUACAAAAUCUAACUAUGAAAGCAAAUGUGAACAUCAAAAAGACUAAUUUUCAAAAUUGGAAUCCAAAACCAAGUAAAAUAAUCAGACACCCAUACUGUUUUCUUUUUUCUUGCUAAUUAAAAAUUUGGAUGGGUUUGACUCUGAUUAUUACCAUAGGUCGGCUUCAAUUACGGAUCAACCACCAAUAUAAUUUUCACAUUCGAUAGGUUACUUGUAAGAGUUCUUACAUAUCGUCAAUCAACACAGUUUUCACAUUUGGGACUAUAGGUUCUUAUGAAUUGCGUACCAACAUAAUUUUUAUAUUUGGAACCAUAGAUCACUUACAUGAAUUUUUAUAGAUUGUACAUUAAUACAUUCUUUACAUUGACAACGAAACUUGAGCACAUGAUCUUUUGUAAAAGAAUGACUUAUUAUUAUCAACUAAGUCGACUUGUGUAAACAUACCUAUAAUGUUUGUAAGGGAUUUCAUCAAUCAGUGUAUCCUAUAGGAGUAUUUAAAAGCACCGCGGGUGGUUCCAUUUGAAAAUCCGGCAGACGACCUGUGCUAACCUCUCCAUCUUUAGUUCUUUACUGUUAGCAGGCUUUUCAAUUGGGGCUUCUGGCCUGGGCUCUGCUACAAACCCAAAGACGUGCUUAACUAAAAAAACCUGAUUCGAUAGCUUAAGGAGAAUCCUUCAGGCUUAAAGAUUGUUUGCAAUACUCGGCACUUUUGGUUUGUUAGGCUUCUAGCCCCAAUCUAAUUGACCCAAACUCAAGCUUUCACACUUUUUUUUUCAGGUGUUCAGACUUUUUUGUUCUCUAAAAAAAAUACACUUUUUAAAAAAAAUAAUAAUAUUGUGAGUAAAAAAUAAAAAUUUAGAUUCUUAACACGAGAAUUUUUCAUAAAUUUCUUGAUAGGUGUGGUGAUUCUUUAAAUAAAACAAACAAUAUAUAAUACUUUUCUUUUGUUCAACAAACUCCAACUAUUGCAUGAGAGAAGGAAGAAAAGUAAAGGUUAAAAGUCGAAUUAGAGAUCUCAUAAUUUCUUUGAGUACAUUAAUAUACAAUAUUACAUUUGAUAUUUAUCAGUCAAGGUUAUACUAAGCUUAGCAAAGUGUUGCCAAAACUUGGUCAUUUUAAUUUGGGGCAUAAUUUUUGGACCCAAAACCUAUAUAUAUAUAGCCCAUUCCUCACUUUCUUGCUAAUCUAAUCACUCACUAUCAUAUUUGAAGGCACUGUCGCUUUCGUCUGAAUCAUCUAACAAAUCAUACUUUUAACUUUUAACUUUUUAUAUAAUUGAAGAUAAAUCUCAUUGGGUUUUUCUUAUGGUUUUCCUUUCUUCUAACAACUUCUAUCUUUUUAAUAUAUUUGAAUUUUUUUAUCCACACUUUUAUUGGUGCGAUUUAAUUGUUAUAUUGGUAAAUUUAUGAAUUUUAUUAGAAACUAAAUAUUUUGAAUUGUUGUAUCUUUUGUAUUUCAUUAAUAAAAAUAUACAUAGUUCUUGAUAUCUAAUCGUUGUAAAAUUUUAAUAAAUAUCUCAAAGAAUAGUUAACAAGUUUUUUUGAUGCACUGCAAUAGUUGAUAGAUAUUAUAACAUUACAAUAUAUUUAAACUGCGUAAGAGUAUUUAAUACGUUAGUUGAAUGUUUAGAGUACAAUAAUAUUCUACAAUAAAUACGUAAGAGUAUUGUUAAUAUUUCUUUCUUGAAUUAUUCAUACCUUACACAACUUCACAACUAGAGUUGUACACGAGUCAAGUUGAUCGCGAGCAACUCGAUUCAAAACUCGACUCGACUUCGGUCAAUAUCAAGUUCAAGUGGAGUUCGAGCAAACCAAGUCAAACUCGAAUUCAAAAAUAUUCAACACGUUAACUCACGAGUUCAAUUUUAUACAUAUAUAUAUAUUAUUUUAAUAGUAAAAUUACAUAUAUAUCCCUAAUAUUUUAUUAUUUAUUAAGAAAAAUAUUAUUUUAUCAAUUUUUUUUAAAAUUAAAAUUAUUUUUUUAUUUUUUUAAACUCCAGCUCGACUCGAGAGCUUUACACUAAGCGGUCAUUGAGUUUGAGUUCUAGUUCGAACUUGAUAAAAUUAAGUCGAGACUCAACUCGAUUCGACUCGAUUCAAUUUGUUUGUAACCCUAUUCACAACUACUAUGUUGACAUUUGUGUUUUUUUUUUUAGUGUAAUUGCUAAGGCUUGCAUCCAUGACCUCUCAUGUAGAAUCUCUCCCUUCCUAACCAACCAACCUAUCCCCUCCCUCCCAAGUUGUCAUUUGUUUUUCCUUGCUAAGAAGGCAGAUGUUUCUUGCCACAAGUCGCAGGGCACCACGUAAACAAUGAGUAUCAAUGUCUUCUUUCUUCACUCUAGAAGGCAAUUCCUGGCUGAAUGAAUUCAAAAUAUUAGCAAGUGUGAUCUCCAUACAUGCUAGCCCUAGGGAGUAUCUAGGGCAUCAUCUUCUGCCUACCCCCGAUGGGAGCAAUUGAAAUUACACCCCUUUCAUAUCUAUAGUACUAUUCAAGAAUCUCUCAGGCAAGAACUCGUAGAUUUUUCCAAUACUCAAGAUCCCUUUCCAAUUGCCCAACCAUUUAUGUAAACUAUAGUCCGGGGCUGAAUUUCAUAUCCGCCAAGGAUGCAACUUUCCAUUGAGUAUCUUGGGACUAAAUUAGGAACAAUUGUGUACAAUCUCAUAGUCUCCUUGAUGAUAGAUAUGAGAUAGGGAAGCUUUUGAGGAUCAUCUUCAUCUAUCAUUUUCCUCUCUCCAUGCACUUCUCGAAUUUCAGUUUGUGCUUUUUCAUUGCUGUAGAGGUUUUUGAUAAGUGCCGUCGUAGCCCAAAUUAUCGUGCCACCUGAAGUGUCUGAUCCAGCAAAGAAUAAAUUCUGCAAUGGUUUUUGGAAAGAAAAUAACAUUAUUGAAUUUUUGAGACUGGAAACUACAUGCUUUCAAUUCGAAGAUUAUUUAGAAAAUUAUUGUUAAUAACAAUCUCAUAAACCUUUUCACCGGAUGAUAUAUAACAGGUAAAAAGGUGAUUGAAAAUUGAACAAAAAGAAAACUGAAUUGUUCUAUUUUUUUUUUUGUUCUAGGCUCUGUACAACAUUUAUACAAAUGAAAUUUGACUUUUGUCAAUUCCAUGAAAUUUGUAAUCUCCUAAAAAUUAGGAGCUAAUUUAUUCUAUUCUAAAAUACAUUAGGAGUAAAUUAUUCUAUCCUAAAAUAGAGCAGAAAUCGUGGGAUAUACAUAGAAUUUAUAGUUGUACAAAAAAGAUAUUCUAGAUUUUCAACACUCCCCCUCAAGAUGGUGAAUAGAUAUUUUCUAUUCCCAUCUUGCAUGUAAUGUCUUCAAAGUUGGAAGUUGGCAUUCCCUCAGUUAAGAUAUCUGCCAAUUGAUUAUUUGAUGUUACAUAUGGAGUGCAAAUCAUGCCGCUGUCCAGCUUUUCUUAAUAAAAUGUCUAUCUAUUUCGAUGUGCUUUGUGCGAUCAUGUUGCACUGGAUUAUGUGCAAUGUUGAUGGCAGACUUGUUGUCGCAAUAGAGUUUCAUAGGUCCUUCCCACUUGAUUUUAAGGUCAUCAAGUGUUAUUUUGAGCCAUAACAAUUCACAAACUCCAUGAGCCAUAGCUCUAAACUCUGCUUCAGCACUUCAUCUUGCAACAACCGAUUGCUUCUUACUCCUUCAUGUCACUAGGUUCCCACUAAGAAAUGUACUAUAUCCUGAAGUUGAUCUAUGAUCUACAACAGAACCUGCAUAAUCAACAUCAGUAUAUGCCUCUAUGAGCAAUCUUUCAUUUUUCUUGAACAAAAUUCCUCUACCCGGUGCCCCUUUAAGGUAGGAUAGAAUUCUGUUGACAGCCUGCAAGUGUUUCUCUCUUGGAUCAUGCAUAAAUUGGCUUACUACACUUACGACAAAUGCUAUGUCCGGCCUUGUAUGGGACAAGUAUAUCAGUUUCCCAACCAACCGCUGAUAUCUUCCCUUAUCUACUGUGCUAUCAUCCUUCUCUUCAAUCAAUCUCAAGUUAGGCUCAAUGGAUGUGCUUGCUGCCUUGCAUCCAAGAUUGCCUGUUUCUUUAAGCAAGUCUAAGACAUACUUUUGUUGAGAAACAAAGAUGCCUUUACUUAAGUAUGCUACCUCAAUGCCUAAAAAAUACUUCAACCUCCCUAGUUCUUUAAUUUCAAACUCCUUUGCUAAACACUUUUUGAGUGUUUCUCUUUCAAUUGGAUCAUUCCCGAUGAUGAUGAUGUCAUCUACAUAUACAAGUAGAGCUGUAACACCUCCUUUUGAAUGUUUUAUGAACAAGGUAUGAUCUCCUUGACUUUGUUUGUUUGGAACCAAGCCCUUGGCGAUUGUUUUAAUCCAUAUAAAGCUUUCUUUAACCUGCACACUUUCUUUUCAAAAAACAUUUCAUUGAAACCUGGUAGAGGUUCCAUGUACACCUUUUCUUCUAAAUCCCCAUGUAAGAAUGCAUUCCUAAUAUCAAAUUGUUGUAAACACCAACCAAAGUUAGCGGCUAAAGACAAAAGAACACGCACGAUAUUCAUUUUUGCAACGGGUGCAAAGAUCCCUUGGUAUUCUAUCCCAUAUGUCUGUGUAUAUCCUUUUGCGACCAACCGAACUUUAUACCUUUCUAAUGAACCAUCAGCUCUAUAUUUCAAAGUAAACACCCAUUUACAUCCCACUAUUUUCUUUCCUUUAAGUAGGUUUAUAAUUUCCCAAGUCUUAUUUCUCUCUAGGGCAUUCAUCUUCUCUUUCAUAGCUUGUAACCAAUUCUUAUUUCUAAGUGCCUCUUGUAGUGUUUGUGGGAUUGAAAUGGAGUUGAUGGUGGUAAGAAAAGUUUUAUGUUGUGGAGAGAGUCUAUGGAAAGACAUGAAAUUUGAGAUUGGAUACUUAGUGUAUUCUCGUGUUCUUUUUCGAAUAGCAAUAGGCAGGUCUAAAUCAUUAAAUUCACAAUGAGCAAAGUCAGAUUGAACACACAAAGGAACAGAAUUUUCAGUACCUGAUCGUGGUUCAGAUUCUUGGGUUUGUACAGGUUCAAAAAUAUGAACUUUCUUCCUUAAGUAGACCUUGAGUGGUGUAUUUGGAUUUAAACCAGUUUUUCUCUCAACUCCAAGAUCAGGUUCAAUUUCUUUACUGGCAUGUUCAACUUCAAAUUCAAGUUCAGGUUCACUGCUAGCAUAUUCUCCUUUGGAAUUUGGUGUAUGGUCAGGUUUAAAAGACUUCAAGUUUAGUGUAGGACUUUGAAGAUCAAGGAGAGAUUCCUUAUCUUCCCAAGAACUCUCCCCCUGGAGAUGAGGAUUGUUACUUUGAGAGUAAGGUUCAUUUUCAACAAAUGUGACAUCCAUGGAUGUAAAAAAUUUUUUUGAAGGUGGAUGAUAACACUUGUAUCCUUUCUUUGUGUUUGAGUAUCCCACAAAAAUACAUUUUAAAUCUCUUGGAUCAAGUUUCCCUCUUUGGUGUGCAUGAACAUAUACAAAAGCAACACAACCAAACACUUUUGGUGACAAUGUGCAAGAGACAUUAAAAUAAGGGUAAAAAACAGAAAGAGUAGCAAUGAGACACUGAUUAUUUAGCACUUUGGAAGGUACUCUAUUUAUCAAAUGUGCAGCAGUUAAAACAGCCUCCCCCCAAAAGGUUUUUGGAACUUUAUGUUGAAACAAAAUUGCUCGAGUCACAUUGAGUAAAUGUCUAUUUUUCUGUUCAGCAAUCCCAUUUUGUUGGGGUGUGUCUACAUAAGAUGACUCAUGUAUUAUACCCUCUUUUUGGAAAAAAAGAUGAGAGAAUUUGAUUAAAAUAGUCUCUUGCAUUAUCAGAUCUUACUCUUUUAAUCAAACUUCCAAAUUAUGUACAAAUCAUUUUACAAAACAUUGGAAAAAUAUUGCUUACUUCUGAUUUUUUUUCAUAAGACAUAACCAAGUAGUUCUAGUACAAUUAUUAAUGAAUGUGACAAACUAUUUUGCUCCAGAAAUACUAGAAACUCUACAAGGCCCCCAAAUAUCAGUAUGUAUCAAAGAGAAAGGUCUAGUAGAUCUUGUAUUACUCAAUGAAAAUGAUAGUCUAUGAUGUUUAGCAAUUUGACAUUUAUCACAAUGAAAACUACUAACAUCUUCAUUCUUAAAAAAGUGAAGGAAAUAUGCUUUUAAGUAAAAUAAAGAUGGAUGAUCAAGGCGGAAAUGAUGAAGCCAAAUUUCAUAUUUAUUAUUUGAGGAGCAGGUGAGGGAUAACUGAUUAUUGUUCUUCUUGUUGCCACUCAUUUCCUCAAGGUAAUAAAGCCCAUCAUUCACCUUAGCAAGUCCAAUCGUCCUCCCCGUAACCAAAUCCUAAAAAGCAUAGUGAGUAGAAUAGAAAAUUACUUUAUAGUUCAGAUCUUUGGUAAUUUGAUGGAUGGAUAUGCGAUUGGAGGACAAUUUUGGGACAUGCAACACAUUAUUUAGGGACAAAGAAUUUGAUAGAUUUAUUGUCCCUUGGCCUGCAACAGUUAUAGAAGAUCCAUCCGCAACAGUAAUUCUUCUAUUUUCAGGACAUGGGUUGUAUGUUCUAAAUCUGAUUGGGUUGUGAGUCAUAUGGUCAGUAGCUCCUGAGUCGAUGACCCAAGAGUCUAGAGAAGACAUGCUUGAGGCACUUAGCGCAUAAGAGUUAAGGUACUUACCUGAUUGAGCCAAUGAACACGUACUAGAGGACUUUUCAAGGAAAUUUAGGAGGUUUCUUAGCUUUUCGAUUUCUUCUUUAUUGAAUUCUCCUAUACCAACCUGGUUGGAUUUUUCUUGUGUUUGGUCUACUCCAUUAGUUAAGUGGGCUUUUCCGCCUUUGAAUCCUCCUUUACGACUAAGGACUUUUCCUUCCCAUGGAGUUUGAAGCAAUCAUUUCGUGUAUGACGUGUUUUUUUGCAGUAUGUGCACCAAAUUAUGUCUUUAUUUGACUCUGUACGCCCAUUACCUAUCUUUGUUUCCUUAUUGUUUGAUUUUGUAGAAAUCAUUGCCGAGCCUUCUAAUAUUUUAGGCUCCAACAUGACUUCUCGCCUAUUCUUUGCAGCUCGGAUCAAUGAUAUUGUCUCAUUCAGAAAUGAUAAUCUUUUCUUCCCCAAUAUAUAGACUCUGACCUGAUCAAAUUCCACAUUCAGACCUGCAAGGAAGUCAUAAACUCUAUCCUUUUCGAUAAAGUUUUUCAAGGUGGCUGCAUCUUCACUACAUAACAUCUGAACACACUGAUAUUGGUCCAGUUCCUGCCACAGAUUUUGCAGAAGAUUGGCAUAUUGAGUAACAGAAAGGUUGCCUUGUUUAGUGGCUGAGAUCUUUGUUUUGAUCUCAUAGAUUAGGGCAGCAUCUCCUGUCUUUGAAUAGGACUGUUGAAUAGUAGUCUAUAUAUCUUUAGCUGUUGGUAGGAACAUGCAAGUAUCACCUAUUUCAUAUAACAUGGAGUUCCACAGCCAUGACAAGACCAUAGAAUCCUCUUCAUCCCAAGUAGCGAAUUUAGGAUCUCCCUUUUUCGGUCCAGUUCCAAGCAAGUGGCUGAUUUCUCCCUUUCCUUUGAGAAAUGUUUGAACAAAUUGUGACCAUUUCAAAUAGUUUUUUUCCGUUGAGCCUGUAGGCUACCUGGAUACUCUGCAAAUCCCUUGUUUGUGGAAUAUUUGAGGUCUCUUCUGAUUUGGUAUUGGAGUUGAUUUCUGAUGUUUCAGUUUCAGACAUGUUGGAGGUUUCAAAGAAAAAUUGGCAAUGAAGGCCUAAUGAAAAAAUUAGCAAUAAAGGCUAGAAUUUGCACUUGGCAAUAAAGACUUGAAAAGAAGAAAGCACUCAGCAAUGAAGGUUGACAAUAAGAGGUUCCAAGAGCAAAAGCUCUGAUACCAUGAACAAAAAGAAAACUGAAUUGUUAUGUUUUUUCUUUUUGUUUUGUUCUAGGCUCUAUACAACAUUUAUACAAGUGGAAUUUGACUUUUGUCAAUUCCAUGAAAUCUGUAAUCUCCUAAAAAUUAGGAGCUAAUUUAUUCUAUUUUAAAAUACAUUAGGAGUAAAUUAUUCUAUCAUAAAAUAGAGCAAAAAUCAUAGGAUAUACAGAAUUUAUAGCUGUACAGAAAAAAUAUUCUAGAUUUUCAACAAAAAUAAUAAAAAUAUCAUUUGAAAAAUGUGUUGAAGGAAUUGUAAAAAAAUUUCUAGUUCAAAAUAAUGCUCAAUACAAAAAAUAAGUAAUGCUUGUUGUUUAUUAGAAGCAGAAUUGUAUCCUACUAAAAUGAAUCAACAUAUCUUUAAAACACUAUUCCAAUUCCCAUCUAGUUCUAAUACUGGUAUAGAGAAUACGAAAGUAUAACCUCUUCAUCAGAAUUCUUAAGUAGGAUCUUGUGUAAUAGAGCUAAAUGAAAAAAGACUGUAAGAAAGAUAAUUAAUAAUUAAAAAGGGGAAGAAGAAAGAAAAGAACUACUCAAGGCUCUGCUUGGUUCUUUAUCAUAAUUAAAUUGCAUCAUGUUCAGAUUAGUUCAUUACCAGAAAUGGCAUUGGAAUAGUAUGCCAUAUUGCAAGCAGCAUUGCUGUAUUCUUGACCAAAUACAAGCUGCAUAUUCGUUUUUAUGCAGCCAUAUUUGAGAAGGGGUGAUGCAGAGAGAAAAGCAAUAUGGAGCAUGGAUGAGAGCAAGAAACAUCAUGAUAUCCCUAUUAAAAGGAUGGAAUGAACCACCAAAAGAGAUAGAAAGAAAGUAAAAUACAAUAGGGAUGCAAAAAAAAAAGGAUGGAAAAGACCAAGGAUCCAUGAGGAGAAAGGUAUACAAGGAUAAGAUGACAGAAUAUUUACAAGAUCCAACUACAUAGCCAAAGGAGAUCCAAUAGGAAGAAAGGAAGAAUAUGUUCAGCAUUGAAAGGAAGAAAGAGGAAGUUGGAAACGAAGUAGAGGAAUCUACAGAAAUGAGUAAUGAGAAUCAAGGCAUAAGACAGGAGAAUAUGGAGGCGGAGCACAAUGGGGGCCAAUCAGAAAACGCAUUGAUAAUGGCAAAGGUAAUGGAAGGUUUUGAGGAGAAAAAGGAAAGAUAGACAGUAGAAGACUUGAGGGAUGGAAGCGAAAAAGAAGAAUGAAGGUAAUUCAAGAGAGUGUUGAGAACAACUAGAACCUCUCUGAAGAAGAUUAUAAAUAAGGAACGGCUAGGGCAAUUGGGAGGAAAAAGAAAAAUGAAGUCAUUACAACAAGAGAUAGAACCAAUGGAUGAAGAUGCUGCAGAUAACCCAAAGGUGAAAGCAAUGAAAAAGGAAACAAUCAACACACUAUCAACUAGGGAAUUGGAGGCUAACCCCUUUAUGCCUCCAAAGUGUAAAUGAAGGUUGUGGUGUGGAAUUAUCGAGGUGCAGGAGGGCCCUUGACAAAUUUCCGAUUGAAGGAGGUUUUAAAUCUCCACUCUCCUAAUAUUGUGUUCUUUUGUAAAACAAAAAACUAGGAAAACUUCAUGAAAAAAGUGCAAAAGACAAUCAAAUUUGAAAAUGGAUACAUUGUAAACUCUAUAGGUAGAGCAGGGAGACUGGCCUUGUUUUGGAACAAUGAUGUGAAGAGAGACGAAGUGAACAGCACUAGUUGGUAUAUAGUAGCAAAAAUAAAAGAUAGGGAAACUAAUUGCCAUGGGCAGCUAGUAUGCCUAUAUGCGAGUAUUGAUAGCAAUAUCAGAAAAAAAUAGUGGAAAAAAUCUUGAAAACAGGAAAAAGGAAUAGGGAAAGCCUUGGAUGCUGGUGGAGGAUUUCAGUGAUAUAAGACCGAAUGGGGAGAAAUUGAGGAAGGGGGGCAGAGAGAGAGAGAGCUGAAGGAAGUCUAAGGGAUUUCAACAGCUUCAUCAUAGCUAAUGAUCCUAUAGAAAUAGGAUACCAAGGGGUGCCAUGGAUGUGGAGCAAUUGCUGGGAGGGGGAUGGGGAAGUGAAGGAGAGAUUGGACAAGUGCUUAAGCAAUGCUGAAUGGAUGUAGAAGUUUGAUAAGGCCUCUUGUACACAUGUAGAAAAUGAAGCCCCAAACCACCUCAUCCUGAUCCUAGAUACUAAUCUAGAUAGACAAAAAAGAAGAAUGAGGUUUUAUUUUGAUCAAUGAUGGACUAAAAAUCCAGAAUCAAAGAAUGUGAUCAAAGGAGCAUGGGAUAAAGUACACGCAGGUUCCAAAAUGUACAAAGUGACCAGGAAAAAUAAAGGAGUACAAGAUAGCCAUUCUAGAAUGGAAUAAAAGAAUGCAAGGGAAUUCAAAAGUGAGGAUCAGGGAACUGAAAAAGCAACUCAAUAAGGAGAAAACAGGAAAUGAACCAGGUGAGAGAAGCUAGAUUGUCGCGCCCCAUUUUUUCGCGAUGAAAAUAAAUAUUUAGAAAAGAUGUGAUUUAUUUAAAAUAAGUCAAAAAGGACCUAAAAUGGGACUUUAAAAAAUGUGACAAUUUGGGUCCAAAUUAGUCAAAAAGGGUUUUUAAGAAAAAUAGGAGUCGCCACUUGGCAUUGAAUUCGAGUGUACCAAGUCACUAAAAAAUAUUUUUGAUAAAAAUAAAAUAAAAUAAAACCUUUUUUGGACAACUUCAGGUCUUUGAAAAGCAAGAGAAAAUGAGUUCGGGAGUCACGGUUGAAGAAAAGAAAGGCAAAGGUUCGAUUAAUUCAAAUCUAAAGCACCCUUUCAACCUAGUCUAAGCUAGUUGCGAGGUUUAGUAAAAAAAAUUUCUUAAUCUAAAUCUUAAAUUUAUCACGUUUGAAUGUUUCCUACAUAGAUGCAAAUCUAAAUUUAUAAAAUAUCGAAAGGGACAAAAUAUCCAUUCAAGGGUUUAAUUGAUACCAAUCGCAUUGAUUGCGAAUGCCAAAAUAAUUCCUUGAAUGUGUCACGAGUAUGCGAAUGAUGAAAUUAAAAAGAAAAGAAAAUUAAAUUAUAUAUAGAUAUAAGUGGCCAAAGAAUAGGGAAUGCAACAUAAUGGGUAUGGGAGGCAAAACCCGUGACAUAAUUUUUUUAUACAGAGAUCGAUGGGGUAUUUAAACUAAAGAGUUAUAAUCACCCAUUUCCCAUGUUCAAAGAAUAAUUCUCCUAAUAUAAACAAGCAAAUGAACUAACUUAUUCUACAAUUUCUUAAAUGAGAUGCAAUUCUAAAUGAUAUGAUGAACACAUAUAGAGGAUAGGGGAUAAUAUAAUAGGGAAUAUCAUGUAAAUGAGAAAAGAUCCUAAAAAUGAAAAUAUGCAUGAACUUGUAAUGAAUAUCACCCAAAGAUGAAUCUAAUGUAUGAAUAAUCUAAGGAUUUAGCGUUGGACUAACACAUUUCUAAAAAUCCUUACUAGCGUUGGACUAACAAGUAAGCAGAGGGAGAAGCCACAACUAGCGUUGGACUAGUGUGGUGACGUCAUGCAUUCUUAAUAUACAGUAAGACAAAUAGGUAUAAAUUAAAACAAAUAAACAUGUAAGAGCACGUAGCACAUAACACAUAAACAUAAUAUCUAAAUGCAAAAAUCCUAAGAAAAGCGGAUAAAGUACAUAACACAUAAGCCACAUAAACACACAAAAACCUAUCUAUUACAGUGGGGAAUCUAACUACAGUCUAAAAUAGGAAAAUAAAACAAAACAAAUCUAAUUAUCCUAUCUAUUACAUUUUUGAGGUAUGUAAAUGCCUCUCAAAUAAUUAUAAAAAUUAACUAAACAAAUAUAAGAAAAUUUGAAUGAACAUUUAAAUCAAAUAAAUAAAGCGUAUAAAAAUAUAUAAACACAUAGGAACACGUAGGAGCACAUAAGAGCACGUAAUUGACAUUUAAAUAAUAAUAGGGGUACCUCCCUUUUGAAGUGGUGACUAAAUGGAAGUUAAAUUACCCUAUUUAUACUCAAAAUGAACAAAAGAAUCGUGACACCAAUUUAAUUGAAAAUAAUAAUAAUGAUAAAAAAAAUACUAAAUUCACCUUAACAUGUCAAAUGUAAAGAAAUUUAAGAACAUCUAAAAUUAUAAGUUAAAUAUACUCAAAAGUAACAUAAUUAGCUAUUAAAAAAAAGAAGCAAUUAUAAUAAAGAGGGUCAAAAUUCACUAGGGACUGAAUUGCAAAAAUUGAAAAACUUUGGGUUAAAAAUAUAAUUUUUAAAAGUUUAGGGGCCAAAAUUAAAUAAAAGAUAAAGUUCAGGGACCAAAAUAUAAUUAAUUUAAGGAUCUAAGUGAAAGAAAUUUAAAAUGUUCUGGGCCAAAGUAAAACUACUCCAAAGAUCAGGGGUUAAAGUGAAAAUUUCUAUUUCUGCUAGGCAUGUCAAUGGGUUGGGUCUUAUCCAGAUCCAACCUAGAUCCAAUAUAUUUGGGUAGGGUUUGGAUUUAAUUUCUCAAACCCAGACCCAGACCCUGUGAAAGAGUUGUGGGUCUGGGUAGGGUCUGGUGGUUUUCUAGAAUCCAAUAUCCAAAUUCAUAUCCAUACUAGAUCUUACUCAGAUCCAUAUUUAUUUAAUUAAAUAAUAUAUAUAUUAGUAAAUUUAUAAAAUAAUAUAAUAUUUUAUGACUAUUGGAUCGAAUACAGUAAGAUUUUAUGGCAUUUGGUGGUUGGGUGAUUAAUGAGACUCGUGCCAAAUUGUUUCUAGAUAUGGUUGAAACAUUAGUGAUUACUGAUGAUUGAAUUGAAUCAAAAAAAAUGAGUAAGUGUUUAUAAAUUUUCUUAUUCUAUUAUUUAUUUUCCAUUUAUCCUUAGUCAAAUGACUUUUAUCUCAUUUAUUAUUUUAGUGCUGAAUUGCGAGACAUCUACCAACAUUGAAGUUUAAAUAAGAAAAAAAUGUACAAAAUUACAUUUUUUUAAUAAGACUAAAUAUUUAUAUAUGUUAUGGUUGUUUUCUUUUUGUAAAAACUAGUCCUAGUUAUCAUUGUAAUUGAUUCAAACUUUUUCAAGAAAAGGAGAAAAGGUAAAGGCAAACAAAUGAAAUAUUGGAUAUGGAUGCAGUUUAAUCUUUGAAAAUAGAAGUAGUCAAUAAUAAUUCUUUCUUUGAAUUCACACUAUUGCAUUCAACGUGUUGAAUGUUAAUUUUAUUAUUUGAAAACAAAAAUUGGAGGAUAUUUAUAUUAUUUAUGAACUCUAUAUAUUUUAAAUACAUUUUUACUUUAGUAUGUUCAGAAAAUACUUAUGGAUACCCAUUGGAUACCCAGAUCCAUAAGGGUUUGGGUAUGGACUUACUUUUUCAAACCCAAAAGGAUCUGAAUUUGGGUCUGGAUCUAACUACAUUAAAUGGGUCUGGAUCUGGAUAAAAAAGAUCCAACCCAAACCCUACCCAUUGACAUGCCUAGUUUUUGCCUUGGGUAAGAAAAUGCCAUCGGGCCAUCAUUUUAUUUCUUUGGGCCGAACAUUACCCAAACCCAACCGAAAGUCCAAGACAAAACACACAGGCCAGCCCGUCUUUUAUCACUCAAAUCCAACCAAAAUAAAGCAUGGGUCUGACCUUCUAGCCCAACCGAAAAUAAGAAACAAGCCCACCAAAAAAAAUACAAAUUAGCCCAACCCACAUUCCUUUUUUCUUUUCUUUCCUUUCUUUUCUUUUUCUUCUUCUCUUUUAUUUCUUCUUCCUCCACUUCCCAUCCGUUCCUUUUUCUUCUUUCCGUUCAAAAAAAAUUAUCAAAAUCCACACCCCAACUCGAUUUUUCGCGUAGAUUCCAUUUUUGGGCUUAGUUUUUACAAAAAAUGAAUUAAAAGUGGCAAAAUGGCCAAAAAACAGCCCAGUUUUUAUUUUUUUAAACCACUAUAAUCACUACUAAAAUAAAAAAAUUUACACUACAACACUCCUUAUGAAUUCUAUAAUGUAACUAUGAGCCGAAAUCACUGAAAAGCAACAACAAUGUAGUAAAAUUAAAGCAAAAACAUUCCAAAAAUAAAAAAAAAUCCUUCAAUGCUUUUAAGGCUCAAAAACUCCAAAAAUUUUGGAUAAUCAAACAUUUUCGGACCUUGUGCCAGCUACAAUCAUCUAUUUUGAUGGGAAAAUGCACAAAAGAUUCAUUAACUUAACUCAUAUUUUCAUUGUGGCAUUUUAUCAAACACAAACAAGGCAUUUGCAAGGCCAUUUCUCUUUUCUUAAUUUUUAUUCAUGGCUUAUCCCAAAUUUCAGCAACCCGUUCAACAAAAGAAAACACGAAAAGCAAGAGAAGAUUAAGCAAUGAAGCAUGGAUUUAAUAUGAUAAAAAAAACUGAAAAUAUACCUCAAUAAAUAUGGCAAUCCUUCGGUUGAAGUUUUAGAUGCAAUUUUCAACUUCAAUCCAACCGGUUGCUGCCCCUUUUUUGAUAUUGUGUGUGGAUGUGUUGGGAGAAAAGGGAGGGAACCGAGAGGGGAGUUGGGAGUUGGAGUGGUUCUUUUUUUUUUGUCUUCUUUUCUUGCCUUUUGAGGGAGAGAGCCGAGAGUGAGAAUGAGAGUUUGUGUGUUGGAAGUGUGCUGAAAAAUUUUCUUUUCUUGAGGAGAGAAGGGCUGAGAGUUAGAUGAAGAUUUUUUUCUUUUUGUGGCUUGUCUGUUGGGAACCAAAGAAAGGGCCGAAAGUGACUUGGGAGGAGAAAGAGUGCUUUGCUUCUCUUUUUUUUUUUUUGUGUUGUGUCUGACUUGUGAGGGAGAGAGUCGAGGGAUGUAUUUUGAGCCAAAAAGUGGACUUUGUGUGUUAGGUUCACCAAAAUGAUGAUUUUCUCCACGUAAUGAAAAGAAAGGUGCAUGGGCUAAAAUGAUGAAUUUUUUACCAAAAAUGAGAAGAAAUGUUAAUGAGGAUGGAGUGUAGAAAUGGGUUAAUAGUGAUUUUGGUAAAACAAAAUGAUUUUGAUUUCUUGAUUUUCUUCUUUUUUCAUUUUUUUCUUUUCCUAAAACAAACCUGCAAAAAUGAGAAAAUUACGCAUUAAAAUGUAAAAAAAAUAAAUAACUUAUCAAAUAGAUAAAAAUUCAAGAAAAUAUUAAAAAUUGACAAAAAUUUGGUGUCUACAGCUUGCCCCUCUUUGUCUAGAGUUUCGAAAAAAUUCAAGACAAAGACGUAGAUGCCAAAUUGUUUACCUGUUUCUUCCAACUGUACCUGAGCUAAAAUAUCAAGCCAAUAUUUGGCUAAAAUUAUUUGGACAAAAAUGAUGCAAUAAUGUUGCAAAAGACAUGAUCGAACUCAUAUAGUAUCCCACCAUGGGGAAUCAGGUCAAACGUAGUUCGAAUACAAGUGAACCACAAUGAAACAAAUACAUUGACCAUGUGUGAUCUUUGCAAAAUCGAAGAAGUCUAAGCUCUCAGAACUUCUGAACAUGAAAUACAAAAUGUAUGAUAAAGCACAAUUAUUAAUCAAAAUAGUCAAAGAAAGUGGGUUGUCAUGAUUUAGAAAAAGAUGCGCGGAGAGACACAGUUACGCUCCAAGAAUGGGGAUAGAAGGGUGCGCAACGGACGCUGAGACUCUCCAACAGGAAAUUAAGUUUGAUUGUCAGGAAAUAACAGAUAGGUGAGAUAAGAUCCGAGUCCAAUAAAAUAAAACGGUCAGUGGGAUGAAACCCAAACCUGCCGAGAUUGGUGGGAUAAAAUCCAAAUCCAACGACAUAAAACGGUCGGUGGGAUAAAAUCCGAACCUGUAGAGAUUGUUGGGAUAAAACCCAAACCCAACGAAAUAAAAACGGUCAGUGGGAUAAAAUUCGAGCCUGUCGAGUUUGAUGAGAUAAAAUUCAAACCCAAUAAAAUAAAACGGUCAGUGGGAUAAAACCCAAGUCUGCCGAGAUUGGUGGGAUAAAACCCAAACCCAACGAAAUAAAAACAGUCAGUGAGAUAAAACCCGAGCCUGCCAAAGUUGGUGGGAUACAACCCGAGCCCAACGAAAUAAAAACGGUCAAUGGGAUAAAAUCCGAACCUGCCGAGAUUGGUGGGAUAAAACCCAAACUUGCCAAGGUUGGUGGGAUAAAAACGGUCAGUGGGAUAAAACCCGAACCUGCCGAGUUUGGUGGGAUAAAAUUCAAACCCAAUAAAAUAAAAUGGUCAGUGGGAUAAAACCCAAACCUGUCGAGAUUGGUGGGAUAAAAUCCAAAUCCAACGAAAUAAAAACAGUCACUGGGAUAAAAUUCGAGCCUGCCGAGGUUUGUGGGGUUGGUGGGAUAAAAUUCAAAUCCAAAUCCAACGAAAUAAAAACAGUCACUGGGAUAAAAUUCGAGCCUGCCGAGAUUUGUGGGGUUGGUGGGAUAAAAUUCAAACCCAACAAAUUAAAAACGGUCAGUUGGAUAAAAUUCGAGCCUGCCGAGGGUGGGAUAAAAUCCAAACCCAACAAAAAUAAAAACGAUCAGUGGGAAAAAACCCGAGCCUGCCGAUGUUGGUGAGAUAAAAUCCAACCCCAACAAAAAUAAAAACGGUUAGUGGGAUAAAAUUCGAGCCUGCCGAUGUUUGUGGUAUAAAAUUCAAGUCCAAUGAAAUAAAAAUGAUCAGUGGGAUAAAACCCGAGCCUGCCAAGGUUGGUGGGAUAAAAUCCAACCCCAACGAAAUAAAAAACAGUCUUGAAAUAACUUUUGAAAUCGCAAUUUUUCAAAAUUUGCCUCGGUGUAGGGCUCCUUUUUUUUUACUCUUUUUUUUUCAAAGCUGAUUUGGAAUGCAUUACCAAAAUUGGAGCUUACUCCUUUUGAUAUUUGCCCCAGUAUAAAUCAUGUUUAACAAAGGCCACAUUUCUCAUGUUUUCGGGAAGGCAAAAAGAGUGAUCACAAAAUACCACCACCAUGUGAUCUCUUUGGCCUUGAGAACCAUGUAAGCAUGAUCUUUCGAUGUCAAAACUACUCCUCAAGAGUUGUGCUGCAACUUAUGUUGAAUCUUCUCAAUUUUCUAUAAUCAGUCAGCUAUACUCCACUAUGUAUCACAAAACAUCUGUUUCUAAUGACCAGAUUUGAAUGAAUGGCCCUUGAAAAAGAAAGAUGUCACAUUUGACCCCUUUUGAUGUCGUCCAUCUCAUUUGCCGAAUGAUUAAAAAAAAUUUUCCUUAAAAAAAACUACAAAAAGUGGAGGCCGGUAAUGUUUUGCUUUUGUAAUGAACUCCGAUGGAGUGUGAAGAAAAGGUUAAAUGUUAAAGAUCCAUCAUGAAAUAGGUUGAAAAUGAUCCUAAGAUUGCAACCUUCCAAAACUUGCCCCAAUAUAGGCCUAAUAAGAACUAAAAAUUUGCCCCAAUUUAACUCUAAUUGGGCUUCUCUUUUCUUCUCUUCGUUUUUUCCUUUUUUUUUGCAUGUCUCUUUUCUUGCUUUAUUUCCUUUUUUUUUUUAAAACGAAGACCAAAAAAUUGCCCUAGUGUGGGGCUUACGAUCUUGAGAGGCUUAACCCCAUCUCUUGCAGUAAUUUUAGAAGAAAAUUUUCAUAAUCAGAUGAAAAUUUUUUUGCACAUGUUUGAGUUGAUUGGUCAAGAGAAAAUUGGCUCAUCCAUCUCCAUGAGAAUAAGCGCUUCUCCAGAUAGCAUUCUUUGAACAAUAAAUGGUCCUUGCCAAGUUGGAUCAAACUUUCAUUUAACCUCCUCUUGAAUCAGAAUAAUUCACUUUAAAAUUUUAUCCCUUAUUUCAAAUAAGCAAGAUUUGUCUUUGUUGUCAUAACCAACGAACCAUCCUUUGUUGACAGGCAUUGUCCAUGGCAGGUAACAUUCAACCUUUUUUUUUUAUCCAUCAAAGACAGCAACUCAUUGUGCUUCUUGAUCCAUUUAAUUUCUUUUACCUGAGUUUUCGUCAAAAUGUGCAAGGACGGGAUCUCAAUUUUGGCAGGUAUUAUCACUUCCAUUCGAAGCAUAAGGUGCUGCCCCAACUUAGAAAUGUAAUCUCCAAGUGAAAUGCUUCCAAAGUUCAAUAGCAAAAAUUAGCAAAAUUGAAGGAAGAACUCUCUUUUUUUUUCACUUUUUUUUUGUUGCUGAAUUAUAUACUCCUUCUAAAUAAAAAGAAACUUCUCCACUUUCCAAUGUAGUAUUAUUGCCCCCGUUUUCAUUCGUUAUUACCUUCCAAAUUUGCAAGAUUUUGACUUGCGUCUUUUUUCUCGAUUUUAACCAUAAACACCUGCACAAGGAAGGAUUUUUCAAAACACUUGAAUUUUUCAGAAUUCUUUUUCUUUUCUUUUCCCUUUUUUUUUGAGCAAUGAUGUAACAAUUAAGGUUCAUGCAAAGUGUUGACUUAUCAAAAUUUGAAAAAUAUACUUGACCUUGGACAUACCCUACAAAUGUAUUAUAAAAUUUUAUCUCAAUUUAAAUCUAUUUGACAAAAUCUCACAAAUAUAUUACAAAAAAUUUGUCCCAAUUUGGGCCUAUUAUAAAAUUUUAUUCGAGUGAUUCUCCAUUUAUUUGGACAAAACAAGAAAACUGUUUUUUUUUUCAAAAUUUAGAAAACUAACAUGCAAUGUGAGUUGAUGUACAAUAGAAAAUGCAUUUUUUCACUAAAAAAAACUUUAAAUGUCAUGUAGAAAACUCUAUGAUAAAUCUCUCAAAACAAAAUCAAAUUGCAAAAGAUCUCUUCCUCAUUUUGGGAUCGGUGUUGAGGAAAUAGGAUCCUUUUCUUGUUAGCUUAUCUUUUAGAACCAAUCAAAUGGAUAUUAUUCAUGAUUUUGAGGUGGCUCAGGGAAAUAGUAUGUCAGGAUCUGUCUCUUUUUUUUGUGCCCAAAUUGUGUCUAACCCAUUCAAUAUCACAUCUCGGUGAAAGCAAAUAGUUUAUCACUCUUAUUUCUUGAGAAAACUCAGUCAACAUAUAAACUCUAUAGACUUGUAAUGUAUGGGUAGAAACGAUAACUAAACAUAUGGAAACAAGUUAUGGUCUUAUGAUCAUGAGUGAAUGGUAGGCUCCUCAGAGGCAAGAUUUUCACUUCAAAUUGUCAUGAAAGAUAAGUCAGCAAUGGAUUUUAUGAGCUUGUAAUGUGGCUUAACAACGAUAGCUAAAAGAAAUAAAAUUUUCAAGGACAACGUACUUAAAAUCGCAUUCCUUCCAAAAAAUUGUCCCAGUUUUGGACUCAAAACACGGGACCCCAUUUUGACUCCUUUUUUUUAAUCAAUCUCUAGAGGGAAUUUAGCAUUGGAUGUCUUUGCAUUUUUCCUUUCAUUUCAUCAUUUUUUUUUCACAUUUUUCUUUGUUUCUAUCUCUCUCUCCUUUUUUUUUUUUUUUUUUACAAUACUGAUAUCCCAAAUGUCAAUGAUAGAAUUGAAAACUCCCUAAUUUUGGAGUAUAGAUGGCCCCUCUUUCUUUUCGAUAUUGAAGACCAAAUAUCAAUGGUAAAGUCAAAUUCCCCCAACUUGUAGUUUCUCUCUUUUCUUCUUUAUUUUUUUUUUCAAAUCUCCUUCCCCAAUGUGAGGGUGCGAUCAUAAUAUUUUUGAAAUGAACCACCAAUUUAAGCUCAAAUAAGGAUACAAAGGAUAAAAAGUGUUUAGAUGGUAGAAACGAUGGCCAGCGCAUCAUUUUUAUUUCUCAUGACAACCAAAGUAAAGAAUAGCCGGUUGGGAAAAUCCAUUUCCUUUUGACAUUUGAAAAUUUUUCCAUAUAGGGUCAUGAUCAUUGAGACUUUUAUUUGAAACGAAAUUCUAUUUUUUUAAAGUCUCAAAUGGGAAAAUAAAUGAUAAAAUCUGUAUAGAUAGAGAAACGAAAGCCUAAAGUAUCAUCCAAAUUUUCAAAACAAAUAAGAAGUAAUGUACAUUUUUUGCUUUCACUCAGAUGUGGAUUGAAUUUGGUUAGACACACUGGACAUUUUCACGGUAAAAAUUGUCUCACUUUGAAGCUACUCAACCAAUGCGACUGACUUUUGAGGUUCAAUAGAAGUGGACAAAAAAAAUGAAAAAGAAAAGUGUCUUGGUUGAUCUUUUAUGACAAACUAUCAAAUUUGUGUGACCCCUUUUGUUUUCGACUACUCUCAUUGAAUAGUUUAGACCACAAAUUUAGUGUAUACAAAGAAUUUUAGAAAUUGGACAUACACUCAUGAAUUUUUAAACAAGAGGUCGAAAAAUCUCAAUUCAGUCUUAUUUCUUAGAAUUUAUCAUGAAAUCUCUCAAUGAGCAAAUAAAGAAUGAAUAUAUACAAAAAAUAAUUAUUUAAAUAAAAAAUUUAUUAUUCCAAUGUGUGAAAAUUUUUUUUUUGUACUCAAAUAUAAUACAUAUGAGAAAAGAAAAAUCUCUAAAGAAUACAUAUAUAUAUAUAUAUAUACACUUUCUUUCUAUCUGUUGAGACAAAAUGUAUUAGAAAUAAUGAAUCAAGAGAUUUUUGAAAUACUUUAGACUGGCAUUUUCAGAUGGAUUUUUUCAUUUUUUUUUUCAUUGUAGGAUCUGUCCAAAAAUCAAGUAAUACUUGUAAUUUUCAAAAUUUAUCAGAUAUAGAAAAAAACACUUUUUACUCUAUUGAAACAUCUUUUAUAAAUAUGAAAGAUGGGAAAAAAUAAAAGAAAAAUACCCAGAAUUAAUAAGCAAAACUGUAAAAUCAGUAUGCAUGUCCUAUAGGGGAGCCCUUUUAUGCCAAGGGUUGACCUAGCAUAAAAAAUGAAAUCCUCUGAGGUAGGCACCAUACAAUACCUGAUGCAUCCGAUCGACUUAUUGAGAUUCGAAUAAAAGGCAAUUUUGAAAAAUUUGGCUAAUUGAAAUGACAAGAGACAAUUUGUCCUAACAAAAUGAGAACAAAGUUCGAAUGGAUUGAUUGCUUUGAUUAACACAUAAAGUGAUAUUAAAAAUCAAUUUAGUGUGAAAAACUUAUUUUUGAAAGGAUUGAAAUGUCUUAACUAGUUUCUUUGGUGAACCAUAGAUCGAAACUUUAAAAGAGAAUAAACGGGUUAAAUGGAUCGAAUGAAAUUGAUGGUUAGUUUAAAAAUUGACUGGAUUAUCCUAAAAGUGAAUAAAACUAAUCAAAUGGAUUGGAUGAAAUUGAGGAUUUAAAAAAAUUGACUAAAUGAAUAAUGAAUUGGAUGGAAUUGAUGAUUUAUUCAAAAUUGAUUGUAUUGUCCCAAAAAUGAAUAAAUUGGUCAAAUGGAUUGGAUAGAAUUGGCGGUUUAUUCAAAAAUCGACUAGAUUGCUCCCCCAUUUGUAGUUCCAAAACUUACAAAAUUUGUUGCAAUGCAUUAGUCUAUGAGCCUUCUAAAAUCAAGAUUUGACCUCAAUAUAUUUAUCAUCUCAACAAUGAGGAAUUAUUUGUGAAUUUCUUCAAUUUAAUGUCCUUUAUGCAAGGGAUUUUACCAGCAUUGACAAAAUAGCCAAAAAAUGAUUAUUAAAGGCUCAUAUUCUAAUGCGCAAAAACUGUUUCAUCAUUCUCAAUGUCGUCAUCGUGGAAAGGACCAGAUCAUACCUUACCUUGUGCACUACCUUUUUGGAUGGUAAUAAAAUGUAAACGUGCAAGUCUCAUUGGAUUACAUAUUCGAGACACAAGGUGGCUUAUUCCUAACGUGGGAUUUCCUAUGCGGCAUUCCCUCUAAGGUUGAUGCAUGAUACCAGUUUAUUAAAGCAAGUAAAUAUGUGAUAAUAGGAAUUAAACGUGAUCUAAAUGAACCCUUUUAUAUGCCAGGGUAGGCCUAAAAAUGAAAUGCAAGAACUUAUAAUUUAAACGUGUGCGAAUCUAUCUACAAAGGUGGAUUCUAAAAAGAAUACCAUAUCAUAACUCUUAUUAUCUAAAGUUGGUGAAUGCACAAAAAAAGAAAACAAAAAGAGGUUAGUACAACAAAUAACACAUAACACAUUGGAGCAAUUAAUGAUACAAAAAUAUAAAGUAAAGAAUGAGGGGUAGAAUCCCUCCUCUCGUGUCUAAUGUUCCUAGUUGGGUAAGGUCGACUCUAUCUUAGGUAAUUUCUAAUAUGGAUGCAUGAGGUUUGCCUUACUAAUGCAUCUAAACUCGAUAAAGUUUCAGGUUUCCAAGCCUUCAGACAAAAGGGCGAAGGGUCCUCAAUUCCAAAGCCCUUAGUCGGUGGCUUGAGUAAUCCCCCAGAUAUUCCUACGUGCACGUCGUGCCACGGCCACAUGUCCAAGUGGAUCGAUCCUAAUCCUAACAGGGAGGAGUGGUGUGACAACCACAAAAAAGAAAAUAAUAUAAAGGGUUAAAAGAAAUAACGUAUGCACGUAUGAAGUGCUCCUUUGAGAGGAGGGAGUAAUACCAUUAAAUAUGCUUGAAGGCUCUAGAGUGAUAUUUCCCCCCACUCAAAAUGCAAAACGCGAUAAAUAAACAAAAGUAAAUAAAUAAACCAUUCAUCACAUACACGAAAAAUGACAAACAAAUACGAAUGUGAAAUGCAAAACAUCCUAAAAAUGAGGAAAAAGAAAAAGUAAAAGAAAUAUGCAACCUAAACAUCCAAAUAUGAUAAGUGAAAGAGUUAGAAAGAGAAAAGACAACUAAACCAAGUGCUUGGACUCUCUAACGUCCCCAGUGGAGUCGCCAAGUUGUCGCGCCCCAUUUUUUCGCGAUUAAAAAUAAAUAUUUAGAAAAUAUGUGAUUUAUUUAAAAUAAGUGAAAAAGAAUCUAAAAUGGAACUUUAAAAAAUGCGACAAUUUGGAUCCAAAUUAGUCAAAAAGAGCUUUUAAGAAAAAUAGGAGUCGCCACUUGAUAUUGAGUUCGGGAGUACCAAGUCACCAAAAAAAUAUUUUUGAUAAAAAUAAAAUAAAAUAAAACCCUUUUCGACAACUCCAGAUCUUUGAAAAACAAGAGAAAAUGAGUUUGGGAGUCACGGUUGAAGAAAGGGAAGGCAAAGGUUCAAUUAACUCAAACCUAAGGCACCCUUUCAACCUAGAAGAAUGAAGGUAAUUCAAGAGAGUGUUCAGAACAACUAGAACCUCCAUGAAGAAGAUUAUAAAUAAGGAACGGCUAGGGCAAUUGGGAGGAAAAAGAAAAAUGAAGUCAUUACAACAAGAGAUAGAACCAAUAGAUGAAGAUGCUGCAGAUAACCCAAAGGUGAAAGCAAUGAAAAAGGAAACAAUCAACACACUAUCAACUGGGGAAUUGAAGGCUUACCCCUUUAUGCCUCCAAAGAGUAAAGAAGGUUGUGGUGUGGAAUUAUCGAGGUGCAGGAGGGCCCUUGACAAAUUUUCAAUUGAAGGAGGUUUUAAAUCUCCACUCUCCUAAUAUUGUGUUCUUUUGUAAAACAAAAAACUAGUAAAACAAAAAACUAGGAAAACUUUAUGAAAAAAGUGCAAAAGAAAAUCAAAUUUGAAAAUGGAUACAUUGUAAACUCUAUAGGUAGAGCAGGGAGAUUGGCCUUGUUUUGGAACAAUGAUGUGAAGAGAGACGAAGUGAACAGCACUAGCUGGUAUAUAGCAGCAAAAAUAAAAGACAGGGAAACUAAUUGCCAUUGGCAGCUAGUCUGCCUAUAUGCGAGUAUUGAUAGCAAUAUCAGAAAAAAAUAGUGGAAAAAAUCUUGAAAACAGGAAAAAGGAAUGGGGAAAACCUUGGAUGCUGGUGGAGGAUUUCAAUGAUAUAAGACCGAAUGGGGAGAAAUUGAGGGAGGGGGGCAGAGAGAGAGAGAGCUGAAGGAAGUCUAAGGUAUUUCAACUGCUUUAUCACAGCUAAUGAUCCUAUAGAUAUAGGAUACCAAGGGGUGCCAUGGAUGUGGAGCAAUUGUUGGGAGGGGAAUGGGGAAGUGAAGGAGAGAUUGGACAAGUGCUUAAGCAAUGCUGAAUAGAUGCAGAAGUUUGAUAAGGCCUCUUGUACACAUGUAGAAAAUGAAGCCCCAAACCACCUCAUCCUGAUCCUAGAUACUAAUCUAGAUAGACAAAAAAGAAGAAUGAGGUUUUAUUUUGAUCAAUGAUGGACUAAAAAUCCAGAAUCAAAGAAUGUGAUCAAAGGAGCAUGGGAUAAAGUACACACAGGUUCCAAAAUGUACAAAGUAACCAGGAAAAAUAAAGGAGAACAAGAUAGCCAUUCUAGAAUGGAAUAAAAGAAUGCAAGGGAAUUCAAAAGUGAAGAUCAGGGAACUGAAAAAGCAACUCAAUAAGGUGAAAACAGGAAAUGAACCAGGCAAGAGAAGCCAGAUUGUCACACCCUAUUUUUUCGCAAUGAAAAUAAAUAUUUAGAAAAGAUGUGAUUUAUUUAAAAUAAGUGAAAAAAGACCUAAAAUGGGACUUUAAAAAAUGUGACAAUUGGGGUCCAAAUUAGUCAAAAAGUGUUUUUAAGAAAAAUAGGAGUCGCCACUUGGCAUUGAAUUCGAGUGUACCAAGUCACCAAAAAAUAUUUUUGAUAAAAAUAAAAUAAAAUAAAACCUUUUUCGACAACUCCAAGUCUUUGAAAAACAAGAGAAAAUGAGUUCAGGAGUCAUGGUUGAAAAAAAGGAAGGCAAAGGUUCGAUUAACUCAAAUCUAAGGCACCCUUUCAACCUAGUCUAAGCUAGUUGCGAGGUUUAGUAAAAAAAUUUUCUUAAUCUAACUCUUAAAUUUAUCACGUUUGAAUGUUUCCUACAUGGAUGCAAAUCUAAAUUUAUAAAAUAUCGAAAGGGACAAAAUAUCCAUUCAAGGGUUUAAUUGAUACCAAUCGCAUUGAUUACGAAGGCCAAAAUAAUUCCUUGAAGGGGUCACGAGUAUGCGAAUGAUGAAAUUAAAAAGAAAAUUAAAUUAAAUUAUAUAUAGAUAUAAGUGGCCAAAGAAUAGGGAAUGCAACAUAAUGGGUAUGGGAGGCAAAACUCGUGGCAUAAUUUUUUUAUACAGGGAUUGAUGAGGUAUUUAAACUAAAGAGUUAUAAUCACUCAUUUCUCAUGUUCAAAGAAUAAUUCUCCUAAUAUGAACAAGCAAAUGAACUAACUUAUUCUACAAUUUCUUAAACGAGAUGCAAUUCUAAAUGAUAUGAUGAACACAUAUAGAGGAUAGGGGAUAAUAUAAUAGGGAAUAUCAUCCAAAUAAGAAAAGAUCCUAAAAAUGAAAAUAUGCAUGAAAAUGUAAUGAAUAUCACCCAAAGAUGAAUCUAAUGCGUGAAUAAUCUAAGAGUCUAGCGCUGGAUUAACCCAUUUCCAAAAAUCCUUACUAGCGUUGGACUAGUGUGAUGACGUCAUGCAUUCUUAAUAUAUAGUAAGACAAAUAGGCAUAAAUUGAAACAAAUAAACAUGUAAGAGCACGUAGCACAUAACGCAUAAACAAAAUAUCUAGAUGCAAAAAUCCUAAGAAAAGCGGAUAAAGCACAUAAUACAUAAGCCACAUAAACACGCAAAAACCUAUCUAUUACUGUGGGGAAUCUAACUACAGUCUAAAAUGAGAAAAUAAAAUAAAACAAAUCUAAUUAUCCUAUCUAUUACAUUUUUGAGGUAUUUAAAUGCCUCUCAAAUAAUUAUAAAAAUUAACUAAACAAAUAUAAGAAAAUUUGAAUGAACAUUUAAAUCAAAUAAAUAAAGCGUAUAAAAAUAUAUAAACACAUAGGAACACGUAGGAGCACAUAAGAGCAGGUAAUUGACAUUUAAAUAAUAAUAGGGGUACCUCCCUUUUGAAGUGGUGACUAAAUGGAAGUUAAAUUACCUUAUUUAUACUCAAAAUGAACAAAAGAAUCAUGACACCAAUUUAAUUGAAAAUAAUAAUAAUGAUAAAAAUACUAAAUUCACCUUAACAUGUCAAAUGUAAAGAAAUUUAAGAACAUCUAAAAUUACAAGUUAAAUAUACUCAAAAGUAACAUAAUUAGCUAUUAAAGAAAAGAAACAAUUAUAAUAAAGAGAGUCAAAAUUCACUAGGGACUGAAUUGCAAAAAUUGAAAAAUUUUUGAGGCUAAAAAUGUAAUUUUUCAAAGUUUAGGAGCCAAAAUUAAAUAAAAGAUAAAGUGUAGGGACCAAAAUAUAAUUAAUUUAAGGAUCUAAGUGAAAGAAAUUAAAAAUGUUCUGGGCCAAACUACAACUACUCCAAAGAUCAGGGGCUAAAGUGAAAAUUUCGGUUUCUGCCUUGGGUAAGAAAAGGCCAUCGGGCCAUCAUUUUAUUUCUUUGGGCCGAACAUUACCCAAGCCCAGCCGAAAGUCCAAGACAAAACACACAGGCCAGCCCAUCUUUUAUCACUCAAACCUAACCAAAAUAAAGCAUAGGUCUGACCUUCUAGUCCAACGGAAAAUAAGAAACAAGCCCACAAAAAAAAAUAAAAAUUAGUCCAACCCACCUUCCUUUUUUUCUUUUCUUUCCUUUCUUUUCUUUUUCUUCUUCUCUUUUCUUUCUUCUUCCUCCACUUCCCAUCCGUUUCUUUUUCUUCUUCUUCGGCCAGCUAAAGAAGCUUCAGCUGGUGGCCAUGGCGGCUGUCGGCGCCAGUCGUCGGCAAAUUUUUUUCGAUCAUAAAAAAUUAUCAAAAUACAUAACCCAAUUCGAUUUUUCGCGUAAAUUUCAUUUUUGAGUUUAGUUUUUACAAAAAAUGAACCAAAAGUGGCGAAAUGGGCAAAAAACAGCCCAGUUUUUAUUUCUUUUAAACCACUAUAAUCACUACUAAAAUCUCAAAAUUUACACUACAACACUCCUUAUGAAUUCUAUAAUGCAACUGUGAGCUGAAAUCAAUGAAAAGCAAUAACAAUGUAGCAAAAUUAAAGCAAAAAAUAAAAAAAAAACCUUCAAUGCUUUUAAGGCUCAAAAACUCCAAAAGUUUUGGAUAAUCAAACAUUUUCGGACCUUGUGCCAGCUACAAUCAUCUAUUUUGACGGGAAAAUGCACAAAAGAUUCAUUAACUUAACUCAUAUUUUCAUUGUGGCAUUUUAUCAAACACAAACAAGGCAUUUGCAAGGCCAUUUCUCUUUUCUUAAUUUUUAUUCAUGGCUUAUCCCAAAUUUCAGCAACCCAUUCAACAAAAGAAAACACCAAAAGCAAGAGAAGAUUAAGCAAUGAAGCAUGGAUUUAAUAUGAUAAAAAAAACUGAAAAUAUACCUCAAUAAAUAUGGCAAUCCUUCAGUUGAAGUUUUAGAUGCAAUUUUCAGCUUCAAUCCAACCAGUUGCUGCCCCUUUUUUGAUAUUGUGUGUGGGUGUGUUGGGAGAAAAGAAAGGGAAUCGAGAGGGGAGUUGGGAGUUGGGAGUUGGAGUGGUUCUUUUUUUUUUUGUCUUCUUUUCUUGCCUUUUGAGGGAGAGAGCCGAGAGUGAGAGUGAGAGUUUGUGUGUUGGAAGUGUGCUGAAAAUUUUUCUUUUCUUGAGGAGAGAAGGGGCGAGAGCUAGAUGAAGAUUUUUUUCCUUUUUGUGGCUUGUCUGUUGGUAACCAAAGAAAGGGCCGAGAGUGACUUGGGAGGAGGAAGAGUGCUUUGCAUCUCUUUUUUUUUUGUGUUGUGUCUGACCUGUGAAGGAGAGAGCCAAGGGAUGUAUUUUGAGCCAAAAAGUGGAUUUUGUGUGUUAGGUUUAUCAAAAUGAUGAUUUUCUCCACCUAAUGAAAAGAAAGGUGCAUGGGCUAAAAUGAUGAAUUUUUUUAUCAAAAAUGAGAAGAAAUGUUAAUGAGGAUGGAGUGUAGAAAUGGGUUAAUAGUGAUUUUGGUAAAACAAAAUGAUUAGAAUGAUUUUGAUUUCUUGAUUUUCUUCUUUUUUUUUCAUUUUUUUCUUUUCCUAAAACAAACCUGCAAAAAUGAGAAAAUUACGCAUUAAAAUGUAAAAAAAUAAAUAACUUAUCAAAUAGAUAAAAAUUCAAGAAAACAUUAAAAAUUAACAAAAAUUUGGUGUCUACAUAAAUUGCAGAGAUAAAAACUCAACUGAGCAAAGCAUAUAAGGGGGAAGAAUUGUUUUGGAGUUAGAAAUCAAGAAGUAGAUGGCUCAAAGAAUGUGACAGAAAUACAGCCUUCUUCCAUACAAGUGUGAUGACAAGAAGGAAAAGAAACAAGAUCAGUACUCUGUAGAAACAAGAUGGAACCUAGUGUAAGACUGAACAGGAAAUUGAAAAGGAGCUUAGUAAGUACUACAAGAACCUUUUCACCACUACCAACCCUAACAAGUUUGAGGAUAUAUUAGCAAAGGUCCCCUUGUCACUACUUUUUUGAGCUAACAGGUAUCAAAUUUGCAGAGAUUGCCCUCCUAUUUCACAUUUGCUCUUUGCAGAUGACUCCUUACUGUGUUGCAAACAAACAAAGAAGAGGUGUUGAAAGUGAAAGAUAUGCUGACAAAAUAUGGCAAAGGCUCUAGACAAGUGGUGAACUUUGACAAGUUAGCAAUUUCUACAGUAGAAACACCACUAAUCAGACAAAAUAGGAGGUGAGUGAAGGAUUGGACAGCAUGAGAGAGGCAACAAAAGGGACAUACUUGGGGCUACCUAUGGCCAUUGGAAGAUCAAAAAAGCAGGUGUUUGCCUUUGUAAAGAGUAAAAUCAGUAACAAGUUGCAAGGAUGGAAACAGAGGCUACUACACCAAGGAGGAAAGGAGGUACUUAUCAAAUUAGUCAUAAUGGCCAUGCCAACAUAUGUAAUGGCAUGCUUUAGACUCCUUAAAGGAUUGUGCAGAGAGAUCACAUCAAGGAUUGCAAGGUUCUGGUGGGGAAAUGAGGAGAAGGAGACUUGUGUGCAUUGGGCAAGUUGGAAGAAACUCUCAGAAGUAAAGGGAAGAGAGGGAAUUGACUUCGAGGACUUAGAGGCCUUUAAUAUUGCCUUGCUUGCAAAGCAAAUUUGGAGAUUCUUAACUACUCCAAAUUUGCUAGUAAGCAAGGUAAUGAAGCAAAAUACAUGAAGGACCCUAACUGGAUAGAGAAAGAACCCCCAACUCAGCAUCAUGGAGUUGGAAGAGCAUACACAGUGCCAGAACACUACUGUUUGCUGCCUUAUGGAAGAGAGUUAGAGAUAGAAGUAGAGUAAACAUAUGGAAGGACAAAUGGAUAAUCGGAUCAGAGAAAGGUGAAAGUGACCUUUGAAAAACUUGAGGAUUGCUAGUUGGAAUGGGUAAGUGAGCUGAUAGAAGGGGAGAAAUGGAAAAAAGAAACUCUGCAACAAUGGUUUUGCAGAAAAGAUGCUGAACUGAUUGAGAGCAUUCCUAUAGUAUACAUCAAAGAAAGGACAAAGUAUUUUGGAAAUUCUCCAUAACUGGAACAUACACAGUAAAGACUGGAUAUGCAGUGUCAAAAUAGGAAUGUGAUCAGCACUGAGCCAAAGAAAGAAUCAAUGCUAAAACUAGUUAGGAGAUAAGAAAACAUAGUGUUUGGAAAAAGUUAUGGUAAUUGAAUGUAAAGGCCAAUUUGGAACAUUUUAUGUGGAAAUGCCUGCAAAACUGCGCACCAGUAAACGAGAUUACAUUCAAAAGGUUAGGACAAGAGGAGAGAAGAUAUGACUGUUGUGGGGAGGAUGUUGAAACCAUAGAACAUUUGUUCUUCUUUUGUACAAAUGCAGCACUGGUCUAGAAACUGGCUCUAGUGAGAUGGGAUGGAUUGAAAGACAAACAGCAUAACUUGUGGCUCUGGUGGGAAACGGCCAUGCAAACAAUCUUAAAGGAAUAAGGUUAGGAUCAAAUAAACCUCACCAUUAACAUCUUCUGGCAAAUUUGGAAAGCUAGGAACAAAAAAAUGUUUGAAGACCCUAAUUCGGAUCCUAGCAGGAAAAUACAAAAAGCACAAGGUGAUUGGAUCGAGUAUGAAUAGGCAAGAGAAACAGAACAAGAAAACACUGCACUACAUGUUAAUAGUAAGACACAAGUCAGAAGAGAGCCACCAAAGAAAAAUGUGAUAUACUUGUAUCCAAAUGCUACAAUCUCUGUAAGAAUGAUUAGAACAGGCCAAGGGAUAAUUGCAAGAAACUGGAGGGGAAGGAUUGUGAAGGCAAAAGGGAUAGCGAACCAAAGAAAAGAAGAUGCAAGAAAGGAAGAAACUCUUGCAGUAAGAAAUGUAAUGGUAAUGGUCAAAAUGCAGGUGAAUUUCUCAGAAUAAUGUUAAAAUAAAAUAUUAUCACAAAAGUAGUGUUUCGUAGGAAGUGUUUCUAUCAUAAGAGUCGCCGCAAGUCACAAUAUCAGCUUAAAGGUUGUUCGAUUUAUUUUUUCAUUUUUUUUCUCACAGCUUAAGAAUUUUUGAAGUUAAGAUUUUCUGUUACAUUUUUUAAUUUUUGAAGUUAAGAUUUUAGUUGUGAUUUGAAGAAGUAGGAAAAAAUGUUUUUUUAAAUCUUUUGCCCCAAUACUAAUUUGUUGCUAACGAAUUAAAAUAUUUUUUCCUUAACCGCACAUUUGAUUUGCGGCUGUUUGAAAAAGUUUUUCUUUAACCGCACAUCCGAUGUACGGAAUUUGCGGCGAUAGAGAAAAGUUUUUUGACUGGUCAAACCAUACAACUAUUACUCGGCAACACACUAUUACUUGGGAAGAUACAACUAUUACUCGGCAAUAUACCUAUGUUUUCAGACUCGGACCGGGCAUCGACUCGGUCGUCCUCAGGGGUCAGGGGUCAGGGGUCAAUGGGUUCGAUCGGGGUUUAAUCGGAUGACGCCAUAAAUAAAAAUUAUUUAAAAAUUAAAAUAUUAUAUGUAAAAUACUUAAGAACAUAUUAAUAUUAAUACAUGUAUAUUCAUAUAUAUUUGAUACUUCAACUAUAUUGGUCAGGGGUCAAUGGGUUCGAUCGGGGUUUAAUCGGAUGACGUCAUAAAUAAAAAUUAUUUAAAAAUUAAAAUAUUAUAUGUAAAAUACUUAAGAACAUAUUAAUAUUAAUACAUGUAUAUUCAUAUAUAUUUGAUACUUCAACUAUAUUUAACAAGAAAACACAAAAAAUUAGAAUGAUCAAGUAGCAAUUUAUAUUACUCAACGAACAUUAACAAGUUUAUAAUUAAAAUUAUGAAUUUGAUUGAAAAAUAACACCAAACUUUAGGACAAUAUUUAUAAAGUAUGAAAUAUUUGAGGUAUAUUAAUAAUUUUUAAUAACUUAGGAGCCAAAACAUAAUAUUCAAAUUGCUUUGACCUUUAAAAAAAAAAAUUUUGGGCGGCAGGACUUAGAGGCUGAGGUCUCCAACUCUGCUGCGCAUGUCAUGUCAGAUCCCUGCUUCAAUUAAGAAGGCCCCAUUAUAUCUUUCCAUCGGGCCCACCAAGAUCCCAUCGCUGGUUCGUAAGAAAGAAGAACAAAAAAGAGAAGGCUUUGUAUCAAGCCGGUUCAUCCGGUUUGCCGGUCAAACCCUGUCAAAUUUGGUUUUUGACCGGAUUUGACUGAGUUUUAAACAUCCGAUUUUUUAGAGUAACUCGGACCGGACAUUUGACCGGUUUCCGGUUCGACUGGUCGGACCGGCCGGUCCGGUCCAAGUUUAAAAACACAGCAAUAUACUUGGGAAAAUUCGUGGAGGCAAUACACUAUUACUGGCCAUUGUUCGAUUCGCUGGGUGCCUGCUACGGGGAGGAGAGUGAAGAAAGGCAAGUAGUGGUGCAGCAACUCCUGUCGAGGGAGAUACGGAAUGUGCUAGCUGUUGGUGGUCCGUCAAGAAGCAGCGACAUCAAGUUCAACAAUUGGAGGAGAAGCUUCAGCAGUUAGGCUUAAAGGGUAUCACUUUGGCUGCAGCCCAGGCCACCCUUUUGCUUGGAAUGUUUCCUUUAGAUGGGUACACCUUAGUUGAGGACAACGGCACCCUUAAGCUUGGGUGGGGGGACCUGUGCUUGCUCAUUGCAUCUGCAUGGAGGCCCUCCUAAAUCAUGCUUCUGCUGAAAGUCCUCCAACAUCCACGCUUCUCUCCACUAAUUUUCCAUGGAUUAGCAGUUGCUAUCCUUUAUCUUUUCACUAGCUACCUUUUAUUUUUCAUUUUUUUCCUUUUGUAAUUCUCAGAAUCAACGUGGUCUACCUUUCUAAAUCGAAUACUUACGUCGCCUCAGCGAAGAUCUUUGUUCUUUGCUUGAGGAUCAACCCGAAAGUCUGAAAUUUACGUUGCAUUUAAUGACGAAGUGAUAAAACCAAAGUAUUAAAAAAUGGAUGAUUUGGCCAAAUUUCAUUUUUGAUUAGUUUUGUAUUUUCAAUUGUAACCUUAACGAAUUUUUAACGGCAUAACAAAGGAAUUGCUGCACCUGAGCUUUGCGGUGAUUCUUUUUUAAUAUAAUAUUCUUCGCCUCUCAUUUCUCGAGUGGCGAAACUUUUCUAAAAAAAAAAUCCGCUCCAUUAACUUUAUUGGCAAAAAAAAUUGAAAAUUAAAACAAUUUGUUUAUGAAGCCUGACUUCUUAUUUGCGGCAACCCUUCAAUCAGACACACCCCUCAACUAACACCACUUUUGUGAUAAUUUUUUAUUUUAACAUUAUUUCGAGAAAUUCGCCCCAAAAUGCAAGGUGGACUAAAAUAGUAGUUCACAGAUUACAAGUCAGUUGUAGAUCAGAUUAAUAGCUGCAAUGACUAUGAAUACAACAUUGCAACUAUUUUGGAAGACGUUCAGGAACUAAAAGCAGAUUUUGAAAACUGUCAUUUCUUUUUUGUAACUAGAUUAGAAAAUGAAAUCAGCCAUAGACUUAGCACAAGAUGUAAAGUUAGUGCAUGAUGUAGAAUGGGAACAAGAUUUCCCAAUAUGGUUGAUAGACUUAGCACAAAAGGAGGUGGCCCCCUUUUUGUAAUUAACUCUUGUAAUAUCAAGUGUUAAUACUUAUAUAUGAAACUAUUAACGUUUGUUGGAAAAAAAAUAUAACCACCUAAAAUAAUUAAUGAGAACAAACCCAUAAUGUGCAUAUAAUAUUUUACGAUUAUGAAAAUUAUAAUUGUUAAGAGAAUAUAAGUAUUCUUGUAGAUAAUAAAUUAGUAAGGGUAUUCUCGUAAAUAGUUUGUUAGGUUUGUACUCCUAUAAAUACUAGUUGGUCACUCAUAAUACAGUGACUAGAUGUUUUCCUCCCAAAAUACCUGUUAACAUGGUAUCAGAGCAAAAGUCCUAGGGUUAGGGUUAAACAUCUAGUCAAAAGUACUGUUCACCCGCACUGUUCAUCGUGGCACUGUUCACGCAUACUGUUCACACGUCACUGUCAUCUCGAGUUGUGACCCUUUCUUUGGUUUGACGUGCUAUUCGCCAUGGUUGAAAGGUUUGUUAAUGCGGUUACCACUGACCAAAUUGAAUCAAAUUUUUCAGCACAUGGGUCCCAGAAGACUGUUACUAUAUCUGAGGAAGAUUAUGUUAAAUUUCUACAGUACCAAGUUACAAAUCACGCAUCUCUUCCCUCUGCUUCUUUAGCACAAAAAGGUAAUGACUCAUGGAUUAUUGACUCCGGGGCUACUGAUCAUAUGUCAGGUACCUCUAAAAUUUUUUCUAAUUUUCAAGAGUCUACUCCCUUUCCUCAUGUUACUUUAGCUGAUGGAUCUACCAAUAAAAUUAAAGGAUUAGGCACUGUAGAAAUUAAUCCAUCACUUCCACUGUCUUCUGUUCUUUACGUACUCAAUUUGCCCUUUAAUCUAAUGUCUCUUAGUAAGCUCACUAAAUUUCUACAGUAUACAGUUACUUUUUCUCCUGAUUCUGUUGUCAUUCAGGAUUUGAAGACAAAGAGGACGAUUGGUGGAGGGCAUGAGCAUAAUGGUCUUUACUUUAUCAACUUCAAUGGUCCGAUAGCAUGUCCUGCUACUGUUUCUCCUCUUGAAAUUCACUUUCGUUUAGGUCAUCCAUCUUUACAAAAUUUGAAAAAGUUGGUUCAUACUUUGAGUCAAUUAUCUUCGUUAAAAUGUGAGUCUUGUCAGUUAGGAAAGCAUCAUCGUGUUUCUUUUGCUCCUAGAGUCAAUAAAAGGGUUUCUGAACCCUUUUUGUUGGUUCAUUCUGAUGUUUGGGGUCCUAGUCGAGUCACUUCAAAGUUAGGUUUUAAAUAUUUUGUAAUCUUUGUUGAUGAUUUUUCAAGAGUUACAUGGCUUUAUUUAAUGAAAGAUCGUUCAGAACUAUAUUCCAUUUUUUGUGUAUUUGUUGCAGAAAUAAAGAAUCAAUUUGGUGUGCCGGUACGUAUACUUCGCAGUGAUAAUGCGAAAGAAUAUUUUUCCACUCCUUUUAAUACCUUUAUGAGUAAGUCUGGUAUUAUUCAUCAGUUCUCUUGUCUUCACACUCCACAACAGAAUGGAGUUGCUGAAAGAAAAAUUAGACAUUUAAUCGAAAUUGCUCGAACACUGUUGUUGCACAUGAAUGUGCCCAAACAAUUUUGGAGUGAUGCAAUUCUAACUGCAUGUUAUUUAAUUAAUCGCAUGCCAUCUAAUAUUCUUGGUGGUCAAUUACCUCACUCCAUUCUUUUUCCUCAUGAACCUGUGUUUAAAUUACCUCAUCGUAUAUUUGGAUGUGUGUGCUUUGUUCAUCAGUUUACUCCCGGGGUGGAUAAAUUAGAUUCUCGUGCUAUUAAAUGUAUUUUCUUAGGAUACGCACGAGCGCAAAAAAGGUAUAGAUGUUACAGUCCAAUUUUAAAUCGAUUUUUUACUUGUGCUGAUGUUACUUUCUUUGAAUCCACUCCAUAUUUUAUGAAACACAGUAUGUCUUGUGAGUUAGACCAGUGUCCCUCUUUCUCUUCUCUUGUUUUACCAGUCCCUUCCCCUUUAUUACAUGAGUUAUCUAGUCCACCAGAUUUCAUAGCUCGAUUAUCUCGUCUUCAUCUUCAAGUUUACUCGUCGUUCUAUGGUUGAGAAAGUUCCUGAUAUGCCACGCACUUCACCAAUUAACUAUCAAUCUUCAAAUCCAGGUAUGACGCCCUCCUCUGAUUUAGAUCUUCCUAUUAUUUUACGCAAAGGUAAGAGAUAUUGUACUUCCCAUCUUAUUUCUAAUUUUAUUUCUUAUUCUCGUCUCUCUAUGUCAUAUUCUUCUUUUUUUGCUUUCCUUGAUUCUAUCUCCAUUCCUAAGUCUAUUACCUAUACUCUUAAUCAUCCUGGUUGGAGAUUAGCUAUGCAAGAAGAGAUAUCUGCUUUGGAACAAAAUGGUACUUGGGAUCUUGUCCCUCGUCCUUCAGGUAAGCCUAUUGUUGGUUGUAAAUGGGUGUACACUAUAAAAGUGCAGCCUAAUGGUUCUAUUGAUAGAUUGAAGGCUCGUCUGGUAGUUAGAGGAUUUACUCAGGUGUAUGGAGUAGACUACUUAGAAAUAUUUUUUUCUGUUGCAAAGAUUACCUCGGUUCGUCUUCUUAUCUCUUUGGCAGCAACUUACAAUUGGCCAUUGCAUCAGUUGGAUGUGAAAAAUGCAUUUCUGCAUGGAGAUUUGGAAGAAGAGGUAUAUAUGGAACAACCUCCUGGAUUUGUUGUUCAGGGGGAGAAUUUACGAUUGAUUUGUCGUUUGAAAAAAAUCCUUAUAUGGAUUGAAACAGUCUCCGAGGGCCUGGUUUGGCCGGUUUAGUAGUGUUGUCAUGGAAUUCGGUUUGACAAGAUGUGGAGUAGAUCAUUCUGUAUUUUAUCGGCAUUCUAAUGCUGAUAAAAUUUUAUUAGUUGUUUAUGUGGAUGAUAUUGUGAUUACAGGUGAUGAUGUUGUGGGGAUACAGAAACUUAAAUCCAAUUUGCAGGCAAACUUUCAGACAAAGGAUUUAGAUCAUCUACAGUAUUUUCUGGGUAUUGAGAUAGCUCGGUCUAAAUAUGGAAUUUAUUUAUGUCAAAGAAAAUAUGUACUCGAUAUACUGAGUGAAGCUGGGAUGUUAGGUUGCCGACCUGUGGAUACUCCUAUGGAUCCUAAUGUGAAAUUAGUAGGAGAUCAAGGUACAUUACUAGUGAUCCUAGGCAAUAUCGAAGACUUGUGGGUAAAUUAAAUUAUCUUACUGUAACGAGACCUGAUAUUUUGUUUGCAGUGAGUGUUGUGAGUCAAUUUCUUGAUACCCCUCGUACUAGUCAUUGGAAUGCUGUUAUACAGAUUCUCAGGUAUCUUAAGAGUGCUCCUGGAAAAGGGUUGCUGUAUCAAAAUCAUGGACACACUGAUAUUGAAGGAUAUAGUGAUGCAGAUUGGGUUGAUUCUGCCUCAGAUCGAAAAUCGACCACAAGAUAUUGUGUAUUUGUUGGUGAUAAUUUAGUGUCGUGGAAGAGUAAGAAGCAAACAGUUGUCUCCAGAUCAUGUGCAGAAUCUGAAUACCGCGCUAUGACUCACACUGUGUGUGAGUUGGUUUGGUUGAAGAGUAUGUUACUUGAAAUUGGGUUUGAUCAUAAACAGCCUAUGAAUUUAGUGUGUGAUAAUCAGGCAGCUGUUCAUAUUGCGUCUAAUCCAGUGUUUCAUGAAAGGACAAAACAUAUUGAAGUUGAUUGUCAUUUCAUUCGAGAGAAAUUGCUUGACGGAGUCAUCAAGACAUCUCAUCUACCGUCUGUAGAUCAAUUGGUUGAUGUGUUUACCAAGAGUUUAGGGGGCUCUAGGGUGAUAUACAUUUGUAACAAGUUAGGUGCUUAUGAUAUAUAUGCUCCAACUUGAGGGGGAGUGUUAAGAGAAUAUAAGUAUUCUUGUAGAUAAUAAAUUAGUAAGGGUAUUCUCGUAAAUAGUUUGUUAGGUUUGUACUCCUAUAAAUAUUAGUUGGUCACUCAUAAUACAGUGACUAGAUGUUUUCCUCCCAAAAUACCUGUUAACAAUAAUAUAUAUAUAUAUAUAUAUACACACAUAGUUAUUCAAUAAUAUACAUAAUUAUAAAUGAAAGUAUAUAAAACAUAAACUUUAUAUACUUAAAAUUUUGGGCGAGCUUCAAUUGAAGUCCAAGGUCAUCCUAAUCCAAUAAUACACAAUGCCCAGCUCUAAAUUUUUCAAGCCCAUUUGGUUGACUACGGCUGGCCCAUUAUAUUUUAAGGACUAAAGUGAGGCAGAUCUUACUUACCUAGGAUAGAAUAGGUGCUUCAAAUACUAAAAUGUCAUACUUUGCAAUUUAGGUAUCAAAGUGAAAAUUUAAGUAUAAUUAAAAGAUGUAAAAUAAAAUCAACUUCUCUGACUCAUCAUUUGAGACACUACAUUUAACUUAUUACACCCCAAGGAUCAAAGUAAAUUACCAAAAAGAAAGGACUCUUUUGUAAAUUACCAGAAAGUAAAUUAAGAAAGGAUCAAAGUUAAUUACCAGAAAGGACCCUUUUGAGACGCCAAUUUUCAAAACCACAAAGAUGUGGUGGCCCUAUUGCCUAUUCUAUUCCAAUAAAUGGCCUAAUCAAAGGCCUGAACUGCUUUGAGCCUAGCCCAACUACAAACCAUAGGAACAGAAAUCAUCCAAAACCACUUGUCUUUUAGUAAAAACCUUUGCACCCAAACAAUCCAUAAAUGAUCUUUCUUAGCACAGAUAUUCUAAAUUAGUUUAUGCAACAAAGCUUGAUUCCAUUUGACCAGAUUUUUAACUCCCAAACCGCCAGUUUUUAAAGGUAUACACAUCUUUCCAAGCUUGUCUUCAAAGCAGUUGUGGGCAAUAGGAAUAUACCACACCAACAUACUACACCAGCUUGGGCAAGCUGGUGCCUGAAUCUAAUUUUAUUGCUUCAGGACUGGAUUUGCGUAAUCAUUUGCAUUAUGUAUGCGUGUUUUUUCGUUGGAUUAGACAUGUUUUCCAGAUUUUUUACCGUCUGGGUUGAUUUGGAAGUUUUUGUCUUGGCAUGACUUUUUAUCAAUCGGUAUGAUUGAAUUUAAAGCAAAUUUUAUGUAUACUGACAGUGUAUACGUUAUCAUUGUUGGAUCCAUGAUACAUGUGUAAAAGUUAAAUUUCAAAUUUAAUUUCAUAUUGUUGUUAUUUAUUUAAAACGUACAAUGUAUACACUGACACUAUAGAGAACAUUAAUCCUUAAAUUUAUAGCAUAGCAUUUUUUAGAUUUUCUUGUGGGUCUAACACGUUACCCAAAAAAAGUCCUACUACGUAAUUAUUUAGUUAACUUACUAUUCAAAUCAAAGCAGGUAGAUAAAAGCCCUUUUCAAUGGAUUUAAGUACCUAUAAAUUAUUUGCACAUUUCAGCCAAAUUUGAAGCCAAGACCUUGUUAUCUGGUCUGCACUAGUUAUCAUCCUAGCGGAUAUACAAUUUACAGUCUUGAGUUCAACAAAGAUAUGGAAACGCCACUUUGACUGUCAACUAGAAUACGCGCAUUAAUGCACUAAUUCGUGUAUUAAUUUGCCCUAUCAACCCAACAAGAAGGGACAAUAACUCUUGCAUCUUUUAAUGGUUUUGGGCGGUUGGCCACUUUGGCUCAAAAUUGCAUAAAAUUGAUACUUAGUGCUUAGAGUUCAAUAAUUUGGUUUCAUGUGAUACUUAGUGCUCAGAGUUUCCACUCUAUUGUACUAUUAGUUUUCACAAGGUGUCGUCCAUGCCGUACAUCUUGUGACUUGUGAGUAGAGCUGGCAAAAAAGCCCAACACCCAACAACCCGCCCAUUAAUUUUAAAGGAUGAGUUGGGUCAAUUGGGUUAUGGGUUUUGUUGGGUUAGGUAAGAACAACCCAACUUAUUCAUUGGACGGGUUGGGUUUUUUAUUUGGGUACCCAAUACCCAACUUGUUUAAAAGUAAUUCAAAAUAAUAAAUACAAUAUUCAAUACACAUAUGCUCAACUAUUUGUGUUUGGACAUGUGUUAAUAAUGCAUUGAUUAAUUUGUAUUCAAAAUUCUCAUAUAUAUUUUUUCAAUCAAUUUUUUUAACUUUUAUUUAAAAGAAAAAAGAUGCCCAAGAUGACCAAGAUGACACUUGACAGCCACCAUCUUUAUUUUCUUUUAAAUCAUGUCUCCACCCGAUUUAUUGGUCUGAAGAUAAUUAUUCAGUUCUUUCCCUCUCUUCUUUUUCUCCCCUGAUAAUUUUUUUUUUUAAAAAAUCCACAAUACUUUUUGAUUGCUGUUUAACAAAAAAUUACAAUUGAUCCGCAGGUAGUGAAACAAAUUCUAACAUAAAUUUAAAGUACUAAAUUGACAAUUUGUUAAAAGGCAUUUAACUCUUAAAACUGAUUUAUAAGUCGUGAUUAAUACAAUCAUUCUAGAACACGAGUAUUUACUUAUUACAAGGCAUAUGGACUCUAUAUGUUGAACAGGACACAAAUAAAGAGAAUACCUAAUACUAGUACUAGAACACCGUUUCACAUACGUAGUCCAAAAGCAUUUUCUUCGAUGCUUUAUAAUAAUUAUAUAAAGCAUUGGAUAAACUUGUGUGAAAUUUUUUUUUUUGUGUGUUAAAAUGUAUGUGAAAAAGUUUAUGUAUUAAAAUGUAAUAAUUAAUCUGUUGGGUCAUAUUUGGGUAAUGGGUUUGAGACAACCCAAUAUGACCCAACCCAAAAUCAACCCAGUCUAAAGUUGGACGGGUUGGAUAUAACCCAUUUAAGUGAAAACCCAAUAUUAACCCGCCCAAUUGCCAGGUAUACUUGUGAGUGACAUUAGACAUUGCACAAAACAAUCCAUGGUUAGCUUUCCUGGAUUUUGCUUUUCCUCUGACAGGUGAUAAAAUCUUUCUCUAAAAUCUUGCUGUUUCGAAAAUCUUUUUUUUUUUACCUGUUUCAUGUACCUAUUUCUAAUAUCUUUUUUUGGGUCUAUAUUUUAUUGUAUAUAUAUACUGACAGUAUAUGUACAUUAUCAUGAUUAAAUAUAUGAUACACGUGUAAAAUUUUAAUUUCAAAAUCAAAUUAAAAUUAAUCAUCAUGCAUCUAGAUUUGAUAAUGUAUGGAAGAUUAAUUCUUGAUUCAUUAAUAUAAUCAACUUUCCACUUUUCACGUUACUGAAGUAGCUAGAUUUCAGUCACAAUGAUUAUAUAGCUUCUCACCUAAGGCUUUCCCGCAGUUUUUGUUUUGCAAUGAGGGCCCAAAUGAUGGCGUGCUUGACGAAUAGAACACUUACAAAAGUAUAAAAGUUAUUAUCAUGUGCUGUAAUUGCAUCAAUCUAUUGUCUACUCUAAUAGAUGCAUUUCCUGGAAAAAGCGGUUACAAUCUUUAAAAAUGAAGCCAAGUCAUACAGUUGGUAAAUAUUCUGAUUAGGAGUGCAAAAGUUGGAGGAUAUAUAUUUGAAUUCUAAGACAAUAAAAAUAUAGAGACUAACUAAAACUCCUCCUUGAUGAAGUAUCUUGUUUGAUUGAAGACUUUCAUUUCGACUAACAUAAAAUUAAAUCUAAAAUCCGGUAAAGCUGUUGAUGGAAGAAGUGAAGAUGGACAAUAAUCCAGAAGAAGAGAGUUUGCUUGAUCGUUCACCAAAACCAAGAAGAACAAAGGGUUGUCUCAAGACCAUGCCUUUCAUCCUAGGUAUGCAUGGAAAUGUUGUAUGGCUCUGCAUUCUGUCAUAUUGGACAGAAGUUUUGAUCUCUCUCUCUCACUCUCUCUAUCUCUCUCCCUCUUGGUCAGUGAAUGAAGCAUUUGAGAGGUUGGCAAGUCAGGGGCUAAUGCCAAACAUGAUACUCUACUUAACAAAAGUUUGCCAUUUUGAAACUGCCACUGCAUCCACUAUACUCUUUAUCUGGGCUGCUCUAUCCGAUGGUUUGGCCCUUUUUGGUGCUUUCUUGGCUGAUUCUUAUUUUGGUGGGUUCCAGGUCAUUGCUCUUGGAUCCAUGUCCAGCCUUCUUGUGAGUCUCUUUUACUUAUUGUGUAAUUUAACACAUUGCUUUUUGUUUCUUUUCCCCACAUAAAAUUCUGGAAUUGCUCAUCUGUACUAAGUUUUGGACCAAUAUUUGCAAGUUUUGUAUGCAAUUACAGUUUAAAGUCAUUCUGUUGCUGUUUCCUGAGAUAAUCUUCUUUAUGGUUUACCAGAGGAUUAGAAAAUUUAUGACUAACAAAUAUAAUACUUAAUUUGAAUGAUCAGUAACAAAUAUAGUACUUAGUUUGAAUGAUCAGAAAUGUUAAUUUGAGUAAGACUUUACUAUCACUUACUAGUACGCUUAUCUGUAGAAUUGCUUUCGGAAAGAGGUAUUGAAGGAAAUUAAACCAAGCUAUUUUAGUAUUUAGUUUCCUAAUUCCUUUUGGUAUCUUAUUUGUUUAGUUUCCAUAUUAGAUUAGGAAAUCUCAAGUCAAUUUCCAAAUAAGUUUUGGUUUACAAUUAUAUUUAUUUUAGGAAGCUUUAGAACCUAUAAAUACUACUAGUCUAGUAGGUUAUUUGGUGAAGAGAAGUGAAGUGGAGAAUUGAGUUGAGUCUAGAGAUUAGACUUGAGAGAAAAUCUCAUAGUUGAGAUUUGUGAGUUGUCGUGAGCGAAAGGCUACGACUUAAUAUUUGUUUUGAGUUAAAUAAAUUAUUGAGUGUUUGUUUUCCUCCUCCCCCACAUAUUUUUAUAUGUGUUAGAAUUGCUUCCGCUGUGUGCACGGGGAUUCUUCGUGCCAACAAGUGGUAUCAGAGCCCUAGGCUUUGAUCCUAGGGCUUGGAGCUUGUUUGUGAAAUUAAAAUAUGGAUCCGCAUUAUUUACCACGUUGUGGUGUAUUUAUCUUUGAUGGUAAAAUUGAUUUUGAGAUUUGGAGGUCGAUGAUGAAGAGUUUUUUCAAAAAUAUUAGAGUUUUGAAUAUUGUCCAAAAGGGCUUCAUGGAACCUAUAGAAGGCACAGAAAUAUCAAGGGAUGUAGUUGAACAAUUAGAGAGGAAUAGACAGUUGAACUAUAAGGCAUUAUACUAUCUCCAUACCCAAGUCUAGUUAUAUGUAGCCAAAAAAUUCAUACAUGUAAAGACAGCGAAGGAGGCUUGGAAAUUUUUAACAAAUUCCUAUGGUCAUGGUGAAGAAGGAAUUUGUGACGAGGAAGAAGAAAAAGAAGUUUUUGAUGAGGCAAAGAAAGAAGAAAUUGUAACAAUUGUGGAUACACAUGAAAAUGAAGAAAUUGUGAUUGAAGAAGAAAUUUCACAAGUAGUUGAGAAAGAAAGUGAAAUCAUUGAUCAAAUUAAAGACGUUAUUGAAGAUCAUGAUGAUAGAGAAAUUGUUGACUUUCACUACAAGAAAUUUGGUUAUUAGUGACAACAUUUCUCAGUGAUGAAAAAAAAUCGUCACAGAAUGGGGUCAUUUAACCACAAUACGGCAAGUUGUCACAAUUGAGUCAAGGAAGCCAACACAUCAGUGACGACCUUGCAUUGUUGUCACAAUUCGAUUCCCGCUAAGAGUCACGGAGAGAGUGGGAACUGCAAUAGUGACAACUUUCUAAAAGUCGUCAGUAUUAAUAGCACUUUCUUUGACAACUUUGCUAUUGUUGUCACUGAUAACAUUAUAUAACCGUUAGUGACUCAGUGACAACCUAGUCUUAUCACUGUUUGAUUUAAAAUAUUUAUUGCUUUUUGCAACUAUUAAUCCUAAUUUUUUGUAAUCAUUAUGUGUUCUCUAAUGAUUUUUAACUGUUGUAUACUUAUGAGCCUCCUUAUUAGUUUAAUUUUCUUGUAUAUGUAAUAACUUCAUUAGAAUAAAAAAUAAUUAAAAAAUAAAAAAAUUCAUUAGUGUAAAUAAACUUGUGACUACUUAACUUAGAAUGAUUAUUAGUUAAUUUGAUAUGAAUAAAUAAGAGUUUUCAAAUUGAACCGAUUAUCGAAGUGGAUAAAUCCUAAACUCCAUAGUUAAUUAACUAAUACACUUUAUGUAUUAGUUGAAUUGUGCAUUUUUUUCUUAUUUGAAGAUAAUGGAUUAAUAGUGAAGUUUUAUAAAUAGUAGUUAUAAUUGAUAUAAAGUUUUAGCACCUAUAAGAACUAGUUAAAUUUUAUUAAAAUGCUUUUCCAUUUAUAUGAAUUUAAAAAGGUUUGCCACUCAUACUAAAAUUUUUAAAAUUGUGACACAAAAAUAAUGAAUAAAAAUGAAAUCUAUAUUUCAAAUACAAUUAUAAAAGACAAAAUUGCACCAAUUUUUCUUGUGUAAAAAAGGGGAAUUAUGAUGUCCAAAUCUAGUUAAAAUUCAAGACAAAAACAAAGUGGCGCAAUUUUAAAAUUCAAGGCAAAAAAAAGAGGCGUAAAUUUGUCCAAGUCUCUUGUACUACGUAGAUGCAAAACAAUAACUUUUCUAAGUGUUGAACUCUCUCUCAAACUCUCACAAAUCACCUCACUUUUACUCAGCCCGUCAGCCCACACUUACCUCUAUCUCCACGGCUCCACCUCCACUUCCACUUCCAUUUUCACCUCCACCUCCACCUCUACCACACUCUCGAUCUCUUCGACAAUUGAAGACCAGUGAAGUACCGUGGCUUUUUGGCAUUGAAGACCAAGUAAUUCUCCAAGUCUCUGCAGCAAAGGUUAGUUCUUUCCCUCUCUUCUUUGUCUCUAAGAUAGUUUGCAAAUAUUUUGGCCCUACGCUUGUUUUUUUUUUUUCCUGAAAAUUUCUACCUGCAUUCUUGUUGAACCUAUAUUGAGGGUGUAAUUUUAUGGUUAUUUACAUGAUUAAACUUUUCAUCCCCUGAAAUUAAAUUUUAACUUAGGGAAAAAAUUAAGGAAAAUUUUUUGCCUAGUUAUCGUGAAUCCCGUAGAUUAAUGUAUCCUCUGCUUUUUGGCCCACUUGGGAAGGACUUGCUGCUUCCUAACGAUUUUUUGUACAAAAUCAACUACGGCUGGACUUGGUAGGGGGAGAAUUGAAUAAUAAUGACCAAAUUAGAUGAGGCAAUUAGACAAGCUUUAGAUGAGGCAUAAUAGCAUACUCAUUUACCUCAAAAUAUUUAUUGCUUUAUUCUUAUUUAGAAAAUUGUAGGUUUUAAAAUCCUUCUGUUGUGUGUCUUGAUCCCACAAAAAAGUUGCAGGGGAAGGGGUUGGUUGCUGCCAAUCCUAUUGCUAUGUUGUUAUGCCAAGAUUGGCUAAUGGUUAGUUGACGAGUUAAAGAAAUUAGUAGAUGUUCUGUCUCUUAUCCUUGAAGCAAGCUACUUCCAAAAGGGUGGUUCUACUAGCAGUGAUAUUUUAAGUCAAAAUUUGGAGUAUUUGACAUCAGAAAUUAGCUUUUCACCUAGUGUCUCUAGGCAAAAUAUUGAGAUCCACAAAAGAAGAGAGAAGCAAUUGCUUACACUUUUAGAGGUUGUACCUGACACAGAUUGGGAUGCUCCUUACCUGUUGCAUUUGUGUGAAAGAUGUCAGUUUCACCAGGUAUUUCACAUGCUGAUGAAAAUAAUAUCCAUUGUUAGGCAAAUCCAUGGAUAUCGAAUAAGUCGAUUGUAAUGUUUUUAUGACCUUGUUCAGAUCUACGGCUUAAUUCAUUCAAACAGAUGUCAGUACAUUGCUGCAUUGGAUAGUUAUAUAAAAGCUGUAGAUGAAUCCAUUCAUGCCUUUUCUUUUAUCCAUGAUAUGUUGCGGCGACUGAGUGAGAUUGAUUCAGAAGCCUUCCAAGCAGCAGUCUUUUCAAGGAUUGGUGAUCUGGUCAAAUUAGAUAGGUAAUUUUGCGCAAACUUUGAUGGUAAUUUCUCAGUUACACUCUCACCCAGAGAGCCUUUUUCUUUAUUUGAAGACACUUGUUGAAGUUCACACAACUGGAAAUCUCAAAUUUUCUUGCUUAAGAAAAGAUGGAAUAUCAGAAAUUUUCUUGUCCAUCACAGUCUUUCCGAAGUUUCUGUAGCAUAUUUUGUAUUUACUGGGGAGGGGCAGCUUGUAACGACCCCACCUCCCCCUAAGGCGUACCAGAGGGUUCGGCGGGCCGCCUGCCCACCUCUCGCCGGGACUCAGUCGUUCGCUACAGUCCUCAAUUAAAAAUUGAAAUAAAUCACAAGAAUAAAUAGGGCAUUGAUCCAAACUUAAAGCGGAACUUAUAUACAUUGCCAACCCAAAAGAGAAUAUAAACAUCAAAUAUAUAAGGGUUCUCAAUCCUUCAUACAUCCAGCCCGUGCCAAGCACUAGGCGAGAACCACUACAAAAGAAACAAAAUAAACAAAACUAGAUUGGCUAGUCUAUCUCAAGCUCACGUCCUCGCUCGCCUUCCCCUGUAAGGAAAACAAAACUAAAGGGAUGAGCUAAAAGCCCAGUGAGGUUCCGAACACAUAAUCAGAUAAUCAAUCCAAUACAUUAAACAUGGAGUAUCAAUAAUUCAAGAAACAUUUACAAUGGAAAGCGAUAGUAACACAUUCAUUAAAAGGAUACGGCUCACAAGGAGCAAUUCGUUAUUUCAUUCAUUCGUUCUCCUGACAUUUCCCCUUGUUCCUCCAAUCAUUUGAAACUGCAUUUUUCGUUUAUCAAUAACCCUCGUUCGAUCGUUCGUUCAUUCAUUCACCCCCGUCCUGGCCGUUGGCCAGUCUCCACCAACCUACAGGGUAAUACUCGAGUAUACCAAACGUUCACCCAAGUCCCUAAUCGCCCGACCGAGUCCGCUUCUGGCUCGAGACGACCGGUAACAAGGGGCAAUGGCCAGUUCAGCCCAAGAGGCUUACAUUCAUGCGCAUGUAGCAUUUCAAUCAUUAAAUCCUUGAAAAUUGCACAGUUAUUUAGGUCGAGUGCGAUAAAGUACACACUCGCCUAGGAAGCUCGUUUUGAAAAUCAUUAAAAGCGCUUAACACAUUAGCAAAUGAUAACAACAAGCCAUAGAAUCAAAUAAGGAACACUCACCUAGAAAUGCAAAAUAUCGUGCAAAAUAUCCUUCCGGAUAUUACCCUUAAUCACCAAUGAAACCUAAGGUUGAACAAGAGAACAUAUUACAGUUUAUCGAGCAAAACAUUUAAGGGAAACAAAGAAACCCGACUAAUUAGGAGUAAAACGUGUAAAGAUGACUUUCAAGUAAGAAGAGGGUUGUUUGAACCCAAGGAUGAAAAAUCAUGUUUUAAAAUGGAAAACCGGUCAUGGUAUUGGCCAAACAAAAGUAUACAAGUUCAAAUAGAAACCUAGCCCUCGGGCGAAAAUUUGGGCAGCACGCCCUUUGUGUUUACCUAAUUUUCCAGCCAUUUUGGCUUCAUUAUUUUUCCUCAACCACAACCCAACAUCACACAUAAGCAAUUCAAGUCAAGAGCCGUUCCAUAGGCUCACAAUAUCAUAAGAAUAAGAAAUACAGUAAUAACAAGUGCAGAAAUUCAAUUUAGCAAAAGACAGAUUUGACGUGCGAAUGCGGAAAUAACAUAUCCGAGGCUACGCUUAUCGGAUUAAGACGCAACCUAUGCCGUUUCGAAGCUAAGACACAGGGUUAUAAUGUUCAUGAAGGUCACUUAGUCCAGUUUCUAAUGUAACUUGGUCAAAUUCUCAAAUUACUAAACCAGAAACCAAUUCGUCGGCUGUUUAAACGCAGACACUGUAAUGGUCAUAACUCAGUGUACAAAAGUCCAAUUCAGGUGUUCUUAGAGGCAUUUGAAAGCUAAGACAGAACACUAAAACGUUCAUGUUUUGGAAAAAAGCUAAAUCCGAAUGGGUCCUAGUGAAAAAACGUGAUAAACUGGACAAACUGAUGAAACGGACUGCUGGGGAAAUACUUAAAAUAGGAAGGGUAUUUUGGACUUUUCACGUCCUACGUUGCUCCGAUUGAGUUAAAAUUUUGUAGGAACCUAUAAAAUACCAUUCUAUACAACUUUCCUUCUUUGACCUAAGGCCAAAUCGGCCUAUAACAUACAGAUAUAAAUUCGGACAGAAUGUUGGGGAAAAUUUCCAGAUUCUGGAAUUUCUAGUUUUUAGUGGAACUUUCCUUAAUUUCUCACUCCAAUCACUACCAAAACACCUUAUAAAACCUCAAUUGCAACAUAUAAGUAUCAUGCAACAAAUUAGGCAGAAUUUCCCCAAACCCUAGUUCAUGAAAUAAAAAGGGGAAAACUACUAAAACAUGAUAAUCAUCCAUGAUUCCACCACUAAAUCAAGUUGCUAAGCUUAAUUUAACAAGAUUAAAAGUAAAACUUAGAGAGAUAAGCUUUCUUACCUUGUCUAGAGGUCACUAAGAGUAGCCCAAGCUUUCUCCUUCAAAAAACUCACCACAACUCACUAACUAGUCACUCAAGAACAAGUUUAAUCGGUUUAUUUUGUUUGAUUCCUCACUAAGUUGUUGGAUUGAAGAUGAAAUGAAAUGUUUUCCUUUGGUGUUUUCCCUCUUCUCUCUCUCGGCCAGCAGCAACAAAAUGAAGAGGAAAAAUGCUAAGUUUUGGAGUUAAAUGGAUGGUCUUGGUCUUGGGUCAAGAAGCCUUGAGGUGGCGACAAGUGUCGCCACCACCACCUUUCUUUUUUUCUCUUUCUUUCUUGUUAUUUCCUAGCCUCAAAUUCGGUCAAGCUUGCUGCCAAGAGAGAAGAUAUUUUGCUCAAGUUCAAUAAAUUUGUUUGGUAAGGAAAUGGUGGUCAAGUGGUGCGUUCAAUCGGUAGUGCGCGGGACCCGCCGGUUCGCGCCGUUUUUCUUAAAAACACACGUACUAGGGUUUUUAAUUUCUUUUCACUAACUUUUAUUCAUUGCUUCUAAUCACAUAUUAUUUCUCACUUAAAAGUCACUUUUAAUCACCAAAUUGAAUCCUUACUCUGUACCGAAAAUUCAUCCGGCGAAAAAAUCGCGAAAACCCUAAUUUUGCUCCAAACUUGAAACCGAAGCGUAAAACCCUAUUUUCUAGGUUUACUUACACUUAUUGUGAAAUAAUUGGGUAGUGGGCUUUGAUAAAUAAUAAUUUUCAAAUAAAAGGGUAUUUUUGAGAAAAAUACAAGAAAUUUGCGAGUCCUCACAUUCUCUCCCCCUUAAAAAAAUUUCGUCCUCGAAAUUUUACCUUCAGUUGCCUCAGACGAGUCCGGAACUUGUCGGUUGUCUAAAGUAUAAACCUUUGCCGGUCCGCUAGUUCGUUUCCCUCAUUCAUUCACUUGUGAUUUAGCUCCAUCCAGUUGCAGAGUAUUGCUUUCACGUGACUGUCUCCUCGGACAGUUGCUAACUUGAUGAUCGCCACUUCCGCAGAUUAAACAUUUCCGCCCCUUUCUCCAACAAUCGCUUUCGACAUGAUUUGCCUUUCCACAGUACCCACAGACCACGUGAGAAGCCAUCUUUUGGCUUUCUUGAAAACUUUUUCCAAAUCUGAUUUGGCUUUCUUUUGUAGAUCCUUCACCUAUCGCCCCUAAUGUCCAUGGUGGAUGGGACAAAAAGUUCACUUUUUGCACUUUGGAAGGGACUCUCGCUUCAUUUAAUUCCUUCACUACACUACUCGAUGCACUCCUUUUCUGGGUCUGCGAAGCUUUUAUCUGUGCCUUUGCAGUCUCGAUUCUUUGAGCUUUCUCAAGGGCCUCCGUAAACGUAUUCACUUGUACUGCCGCUAAUGUUUCUUGGAGUUCCAAAUUUAAUCAUUGUAUAAACUGUCUUACUCUUCGCCGUUCUGUGGCCACCAAUUCAGAAGCAAACUUGGAUAGUUUCGUAAAUUUCGUUUCAUAUUCGGCCACACUUAAUGUUCCAUGGCGUAGUCCAAUAAACUCUUCCUCUCUCCUCUCUUGAACUAAAGGAGGGAGGUAUUUCUCGUUAAAUUCCCUUAUGAAAUUCGUCCAUGUCCAUACGGUCUGUUCUCUUUCCCAUUUUGCUUUAAUAACGUUCCACCACGCUCGGGCCGAUCCUUCAAAUUGGAACACCGCAAAGUUUACUUGUCUUUGCUCGGUGUAGUUCAAGACGGUGAAAAUAUUAAUCAUGGCCUCUAACCAUUGUUCGGCUAUAUCCGGAUCAGAUCCUCCAAGGAAUUUCGGAGGAGUAAAUUUCUGGAACCUCUCAAGAGCCUUAUCUUCUCCGAUUUCAGGGUUCCGGGGUUGAUUCACGGCCAUUUGGCCUUGUUGAUCCACCAGUCUUGCCAAGAUAUCUGUCAUUUGUUGCAUUACCGUUGCCAUUUGGUCUUCGGCUUCAACCCUCAUUCCUUGCUCUUGUGCAGCUGUUGUUUCUCUUUCCUCUCUUGGCUCUUGAGCUCGUUCAUUCCCACGGCCACGUCCACGUCCACGGCUACGUCUCCCGUCCAUAUAUAUGUUUUCCCUCUCUUUUCUUUUCCCCCAAAAGGUAAUUUAGUAAAUAAACACGAUAAGGUUACUAAAGUAACUAUUGAGGGCACCAAAUAUUCAAAUAAACAUAUACCCACAUAACACGCCAUACCAAGAAGACGGAUAAGCAAAUACACAAAUACAUAUCAAGUUGGACAGAUAACCAUGUACAUACAGGUAUACUAACGUCAUGUAGUAACAAUAUACAGGUAAAUCAAAAGGAAAAGGUGAAGUCGCCCCAGUAUCAGCCCGUCUGGUCUCUCACGUCACUUACUAUCCAAACUAGAUGUCCCUGACCUCUUGUGCUCAUUCUAGUCAGACAAAGCCUGUUCAUGUUCCCAAAAUACAAGUCUCAAGUAUUUAGCAGCACCUCAACUAUAGAGUACUCAGGCACGAGAAUCCGAAAUAAGAUAAUUCACAUCUCGAGCUGCAGUCUCAAGAGUAAACUAUCUACAAUCGGAAUUCCUACCUGACAUACCUAUCUAUGGUCCUCAGAUACCAUGAGAAAGAUUUAAGGCCUAUAACAUUCGCAAUUCAUAGCUUCACUUAGUCCCUCAUACUUUUUCACCACUUAGUCCAGGGUCACUCCACGUAGAAACCACGCGAAGCAGCUAUAAGUUUUAUCCCUCAAUCGCUUAACUUUCAAGUCCAAUCAAAUCCCACAGUCCGGUAUCCUAAUCUUUAAUCUAGGAUACACUACAGAGAUCUGAAGCCUAAGCUCUGAUACCACUUGUAACGACCCCACCUCCCCCUAAGGCGUACCAGAGGGUUCGGCGGGCCGCCUGCCCAGCUCUCGCCGGGACUCAGUCAUUCGCUACAGUCCUCAAUUAAAAAUUGAAAUCAAUCACAAGAAUAAAUAGGGCAUUGAUCCAAACUUAAAGCGGAACUUAUAUACAUUGCCAACCCAAAAGAGAAUAUAAACAUCAAAUAUACAAGGGUUCUCAAUCCUUCAUACGUCCAGCCCGUGCCAAGCACUAGGCGAGAACCACUACAAAAGAAACAAAAGAAACAAAACUAGAUUGGCUAGUCUAUCUCAAGCUCACGUCCUCGCUCGCCUUCCCCUGUAAGGAAAACAAAACUAAAGGGAUGAGCUAAAAGCCCAGUGAGGUUCCGAACACAUAAUCAGAUAAUCAAUCCAAUACAUUAAACAUGGAGUAUCAAUAAUUCAAGAAACAUUUACAAUGGAAAGCGAUAGUAACACAUUCAUUAAAAGGAUACGGCUCACAAGGAGCAAUUCGUUAUUUCGUUCAUUCGUUCUCCUGACAUUUCCCCUUAUUCCUCCAAUCAUUUGAAACUGCAUUUUUCGUUUAUCAAUAACCCUCGUUCGAUCGUUCGUUCAUCAUUCAUUCAUUCAUUCACCCCCGUCCUGGCCGUUGGCCAGUCUCCACCAACCUACAGGGUAAUACUCGAGUAUACCAAACGUUCACCCAAGUCCCUAAUCGCCCGACCGAGUCCGCUUCUGGCUCGAGACGACCGGUAACAAGGGGCAAUGGCCAGUUCAGCCCAAGAGGCUUACAUUCAUGCGCAAGUAACAUUUCAAUCAUUAAAUCCUUGAAAAUUGCACAGUUAUUUAGGUCGAGUGCGAUAAAGUACACACUCGCCUAGGAAGCUCGUUUUGGAAAUCAUUAAAAGCACUUAACACAUUAGCAAAUGAUAACAACAAGCCAUAGAAUCAAAUAAGGAACACUCACCUAUGCAAAAAAUGCAAAAUAUCCUUCCGGAUAUUACCCUUAAUCACCAAUGAAACCUAAGGUUGAACAAGAGAACAUAUUACAGUUUAUCGAGCAAAACAUUUAAGGGAAACAAAGAAACCCGACUAAUUAGGAGUAAAACGUGUAAAGAUAAUUUUCAAGUAAGAAGAGGGUUGUUUGAACCCACGGAUGAAAAAUCAUGUUUUAAAAUGGAAAACCGGUCAUGGUAUUGGCCAAACAAAAGUAUACAAGUUCAAAUAGAAACCUAGCCCUCGGGCGAAAAUUUGGGCAGCACGCCCUUUGUGUUUACCUAAUUUUCCAGCCAUUUUGGCUUCAUUAUUUUUCCUCAACCACAACCCAACAUCACACAUAAGCAAUUCAAGUCAAGAGCCGUUCCAUAGGCUCACAAUAUCAUAAGAAUAAGAAAUACAGUAAUAACAAGUGCAGAAAUUCAAUUUAGCAAAAGACAGAUUUGACGUGCGAAUGCGGAAAUAACAUAUCCGAGGCUACGCUUAUCGGAUUAAGACGUAACCUAUGCCGUUUCGAAGCUAAGACACAGGGUUAUAAUGUUCAUGAAGGUCACUUAGUCCAGUUUCUAAUGUAACUUGGUCAAAUUCUCAAAUUACUAAACCAGAAACCAAUUCGUCGGCUGUUUAAACGCAGACACUGUAAUGGUCAUAACUCAGUGUACAAAAGUCCAAUUCAGGUGUUCUUAGAGGCAUUUGAAAGCUAAGACAGAACACUAAAACGUUCAUGUUUUGGAAAAAAGCUAAAUCCGAAUGGGUCCUAGUGAAAAAACGUGAUAAACUGGACAAACUGAUGAAACGGACUGCUGGGGAAAUACUUAAAAUAGGAAGGGUAUUUUGGACUUUUCACGUCCUACGUUGCUCCGAUUGAGCUGAAAUUUUGUAGGCACCUAUAAAAUACCAUUCUCUACAACUUUCCUUCUUUGACCUAAGGCCAAAUCGGCCUAUAACAUACAGAUAUAAAUUCGGACAGAAUGUUGGGGAAAAUUUCCAGAUUUUGGAAUUUCUAGUUUUUAGUGGAACUUUCCUUAAUUUCUCACUCCAAUCACUACCAAAACACCUUAUAAAACCUCAAUUGCAACAUAUAAGAAUCAUGCAACAAAUUAGGCAGAAUUUCCCCAAACCCUAGUUCAUGAAAUAAAAAGGGGAAAACUACUAAAACAUGAUAAUCAUCCAUGAUUCCACCACUAAAUCAAGUUGCUAAGCUUAAUUUAACAAGAUUAAAAGUAAAACUUAGAGAGAUAAGCUUUCUUACCUUGUCUAGAGGUCACUAAGAGUAGCCCAAGCUUUCUCCUUCAAAAAACUCACCACAACUCACUAACUAGUCACUCAAGAACAAGUUUAAUCGGUUUAUUUUGUUUGAUUCCUCACUAAGUUGUUGGAUUGAAGAUGAAAUGAAAUGUUUUCCUUUGGUGUUUUCCCUCUUCUCUCUCUCGGCCAGCAGCAACAAAAUGAAGAGGAAAAAUGCUAAGUUUUGGAGUUAAAUGGAUGGUCUUGGUCUUGGGUCAAGAAGCCUUGAGGUGGCGACAAGUGUCGCCACCACCACCUUUCUUUUUUUCUCUUUAUUUCUUGUUAUUUCCUAGCCUCAAAUUCGGUCAAGCUUGCUGCCAAGAGAGAAGAUAUUUUGCUCAAGUUCAAUAAAUUUGUUUGGUAAGGAAAUGGUGGUCAAGUGGUGCGUUCAAUCGGUAGUGCGCGGGACCCGCCGGUUCGCGCCGUUUUUCUUAAAAACACACGUACUAGGGUUUUUAAUUUCUUUUCACUAACUUUUAUUCAUUGCUUCUAAUCACAUAUUAUUUCUCACUUAAAAGUCACUUUUAAUCACCAAAUUGAAUCCUUACUCUGUACCGAAAAUUCAUCCGGCGAAAAAAUCGCGAAAACCCUAAUUUUGCUCCAAACUUGAAACCGAAGCGUAAAACCCUAUUUUCUAGGUUUACUUACACUUAUUGUGAAAUAAUUGGGUAGUGGGCUUUGAUAAAUAAUAAUUUUCAAAUAAAAGGGUAUUUUUGAGAAAAAUACAAGAAAUUUGCGAGUCCUCACACAGCUUUAUACAUUCAUGGUCCUCAUAUCAGAAAUGACUACCCCAGAAAUCAACAUGAGAUGGCAUCUUGAUAUUUCUGGAUUGAAAAGGUCCAAUGUCUACCUAAUUAACGGUGUCUUUAUUUUUUUUGGCUGGCUGAUGGCAAGGAUUUUGUUGUUUGUUUGCAUGUUUCACCAUGUUUACAUUCACUAUAGUCAGGUCAUCCAGAUGCAUUCAGUUGGUUAUUUUCUAGUAUUUGUUGUGCCUUGCACUCUUUCUAUCAUGAAUUUGAUGUGGUUUGGUAAAAUUAUCAAGGGGCUCAUAAAAAUGUUAGCAAAGAAGCAGUGAGGAACAAUAAUGCUCUGAUUUCUUCUAUUACCAUAGUCAAAUUUUUCCCUCGCGUUCCUACUUGUACAAAUCUAUAGGAGAAUGCCCACAGAAAAUAGAGAAAGAUUAGUUCAACUUUUGUAUGUGAUCCGUGCAAUUCAACUUUGGUUACUUAAGUAUGGUGAAGUAGUUUAUACAUAUGUUAUGCCAUUGUGGAUGGGUAAUUCCUGUGCUUUUUGGUUCCAAUUAUCAUCUAUAUUCUUACCUUAAUUAUCUUUUAUUUCUCCAUGCAAUUCAGUUUUGGUUACUUAAGUAUGGCAAAGUAGUUUAUACUUAGGAGUAGUUUGUGAUUUGAAGUGUAAUUUGAAAUGGUUUUCAGAGUAUUCUACCUUAGGGCAUAAAAUAGGAUAUGGUGAAGAGGACAGGGUGUUUGUUUUUCUUUCUUGAAAAAUAAAUGUACCUGAUAAAUCAAUAGCCUAUCCGAUGCCACUGGCUAUGAGGUAAUUUUUUUCUCAACAAACAUAUUAUUUUUCAUAGUUAUGUUCAGCUUAUUAUUUACUUGAAUUGAUGACGAGUAUUUACUUUGUUAGAUUUGAAGCAAUACUGAAUUCUUGAAGCUAGGAGGGAGUGUUAAAGAUAGAGUGGCAACGAAGAUUAUCGAAGAGGUGACUUAAUUGUUUUUCUUUAAUUUGCUGCUUUUAAAGUUCUCUUAUUUGACUUUGAAAGUUUUGAACUUUGGAUCUUUCAUUACAGAAAUUUGUGCUCUCUAAGCUUAGCAUAUGUUGUUUUGAAAUAUUGAAGUGAUUUGAGUUUUUGUAUGAUAUGAUGGUGUUAUUGAGGUAAUGUGUUUGAGCACAAGCUAGGAUAGUGAUGAGUUCUGACCUUGGAUGGUAGCUAUUAAGUCUUGCAAUUUACAGUAUUUACUGCUUUAACAAGCAUUUACACGGCAAUGCCAAUGUUUUUCAGUAGAUUUUAGUUGUUUUUGUGAUUUGAGUAAUUUGGGUAUAUGGAUUUUGAUAAUGUUAAUAUUGUUGAUGCAGUACCACUCCAUGUAUUCAUCCUCUAGUGGUUUGGAGAAAUGGGUUGUAAAGAUUAAGCAACCCAUAGACAUCUUUCUCACGAUACCCAUUGCAUCAGUUUCUCUUAUAUAAAUGAGGUACACAUUGCCUCAGUUUCUCCUAUAUGAAUGGAUAGCUCGACACCUUGUAUCGUGAUUCACAUUACUUUGGUUAUCAUACUGGACACGUUGUAUCCUCUGCUAUGCAUUACUUUGGAUUGUUUUGGUUUAGUUCAGUUUAGUUUAUUUGAAUGUUUAGCUAAGCAAGCGAAUCAAAGUUGCUUUUCCUUUAGUGUUGUGCUUGUAGUCUUAUCAAUUGGUUAUAUUGUUCAUAGCAGUACUUAUAGCAGUGCUUGUUGCAUUAUCAACUUGUUAUAUUAUUCCUUUGAAGCUGAAGUUUAAUAGUAGUACUUAUUUCUUGAGCUGAUCUUGUGCAAUAGUUCGGGGCUGAUUUUCAUUUUCUGGGGCUGAUUUUGGUUUUAUUUGGGGUUGAUUUUGAAUGUACAGCUUUAAUUAUUGAGGUUCUUAUUGGAUUGCAUAUUUUAGCUAAGCAACCUAAGUAUUGUUACUUCUCCUUCAGUGUUUUAAUCCUCCCAUUAUCUACUUGUUUUACUACUUUAUUACAGAUAAAUGCUUUUUAAACAAAAUUUUGGGAGCGGUCUAUAGCAAUGACUGAAGGACGUUGAAGACAAAGUCGCAAUUUCUCAUUAAAGGGUUCGCUUGGAUGUUCUUUGGUUUCUUGAACCUAAUUCCUUUUGUAAACGUGCCUUAUGAAUAUGUGAUAUUUGGGCACAAUGUUACUUUUAUAGACCUUUGUUGGGUAAUGUGCACCUCAAUAUGACAUUUGAGUACUGAAUAUGCUAUAUUGGCAUGUAGCCUAAUGCAACAACUACUUUGAUUAUCGAUUGUUUAGAUUACUUCUUUCUAUUUAUUUUAGAUAAAUAAUUUACCAUGCUAAAUUGUGAGUUUAUUGAAAUGGAGCUGACAAUGUUAAAGAUCACUAAUGACAAAAAAGAGCUGUUGCAUAACAAGAAUAAAAAACUCUUUGUGACAACAAAGCUUGUCACUAACUCCAAACUUCAAUUGUGACAAGAAAUGUUGUCAAUAAGUAUAUCAUAUAAGUGACAACUUCUGACACUCUUCAGUGACAACCUUGAUCAAUACAUCUCUGACAACAUGCUAAGUCGUCAAUAAAACUCUUUCAUACUGUUGUCACUAAUGACAACCAUUCACUGACGAAUUUUUAUGUUGUCACUAUAUACUUUUACCAACGGAGAUAUAGUGACGACUCUGUGACGACUCAAAAGUCGUCAAUAAAAGUCAUUAGUGACAACAUUUCUAUGUCUUGUGAUGACAUAUUGUUGUCACUGAUGACCAAAUUUCUUGUAGUGUUUAUUGAGAUUGAUGAAUAUUUUGAAGAGAAAAAUCAAGUGAUGAGAUUGGUUGAAAUCAAUUGUGAGGUGGACAAAUUAAUUGAAAGAUGUGAUACUGCAAAAGUUGAUGCAGUUGUUAGUGCUAAAAAACUAAAGGAAAAAUAUGGUGAUGUUGAAAACCUUAUUGGCAAAAAUUAUGAUUUUUUGAUCUUUGGAGACUUUAUUGGUGAUAUGGAUGAAUUGAAUUAUGGAGUAUCUAAUAAAGAAUUGGUGGAUAUAUUUGAAUUUUUUUACAAGAGCGAUCAAGAGAAGAAAUUGUUUGAGAACUACAAGUCCACCAUCGCGUGUAAAGAUGAAAUUAGAGAUCAACUACAAGUUGAAAUUCCAUAUCAUCUAUACAACAACUGAAUUUUUCAUGGAGAUUCAAGUUAGAGAUGGCAUUGGAGAUAACAAUAUCAAGAGCUUGGUUUAAGAGAGGCAAUGAAGGAAAUUAAACCAAACUAUUUUAGUAGUUAGUUUCCUAAUUCCUUUUGGUAUCUUAUUUGUUUAGUUUUCAUAUUAGAUUAGGAAAUCUCAAGUCAAUUUCCAAAUAAGUUUUGGUUUACAAUUAUAUUUAUUUUAGGAAGUUUUACCACCUAUAAAUACUACUAGUCUAGUAGGUUAUUUGGUGAAGAGAAGUGAAGUAGAGAGUUGAGUUGAGUUUAGAGAUUAGACUUGAGAGAAAAUCUCAUAGUUGAGAUUUGUGAGUUAUCGUGAGCGAAAGACUACGACUUAAUAUUUGUUUUGAGUUAAAUAAAUUAUUGAGUGUUUGUUCUCCUUCUCUUCCCACAUAUUUUUUAUAUGUGUUAGAAUUGCUUCCGCUGCGUGCACGGGGAUUUUUCGUGCCAACAGGUAUGAUGAGGAAGAUCAACAAAGAAGACGAUUCCAAGAUCUCCUCCAAGAAAUGUAGGCCACAUCUUUUUCUCAGACUAUAUGCCUUCAAUUGGUUGGCUUGAUAGCCUCAAUGGGAUGCGUUCUAGACUUGAGAGGACUUGCAGCAAGUUAGAUUCAUUUCUUCAAGAACUCAUCGACGAACACUUAAAUCCAAAUAGGCCAGAGUCCAUGAACGGUGAUAUUGUUGGCAUCAUGCUUCAAUUACGGCAAGAACAAUCAACUUCCUUUGAUCUAACGCAAGAUCACAUCAAAGCAAUGCUCAUGGUGAUUAAUUACCUAUUCAAAGGACCUACUCCUUUUUUGUUUUGGUUCAAAACGUCCUUCAUAGUUCAACAAAUAAAUUUUUUCGUCCUUUACUUUUGAAAUUAUAAAUUUUUGUCCCCUUACAAAAUUAAUUUGAUAAAAUUUAGUCCCAACCUAGAUUUUUUAUCAUUUUUACCUUGAAUCAAUUAUGUGACCCACACAUUUUUUUUUUCCGGAGCAAAAAGGUUAGAUCUCAUUUAUAGUUAAAUAAAUAACUUGAUCCAUAUUCACUUUUGCAUCUAAAAAAGUAGGAUUUGAUUUAAUCUAUAUUCAUUUUUUCCAUUAAAAAAGUGGAAUCUAGCCUUCUUGUAUAUAAAAAAUAGUUGCAUGUGGUCACACAGUGAUUUUGGAUUAAAAAGUGGUCAAAAAUUUAGGUAAGGAUCAAAUAUUAUUAAUUUGAAUUUGUAAGGAACGUAAAAUUAAUAUUUUAAAGUGAUGGAUGAAGAAAUUCAUUUAACGAAUCGUGGAAACGUUUUGAACGAUUUUUCCUUUUUGUUUUUCCUUUUAAGAAUUUGGAUCAAUCCCAUUUUGCUAAUCUGUUUCAACAUAUCAUUGUUGUUGGAUGUGGGCCAACCCAUUUGUGCAAGUAAACAACACUUGAGGGCUUCUCAAGUUUAAUUACAAGCGGCAGCCGCAUGAGGUAAUUUCAAUUCUUCAGUCCUCAUGUGAGAGUGAAAAAGAACAGCCGCCAUCUUUUGCUGGUUGAGAGAAAAACAAAGAGAGAAAAAGAGCUAGAGAGAGAGAAACUUCAAGGUCUUAAUUGGAGGGUGAUUUGAAACCCGAUUGAGACGAAAUUUUACACACGCGAUCCUCUUGUCAAGCUCUAUUCAUCUACCGGUUCAGAUUUCAGAUUUUCUCUUCGUUUGGUAACACAUUUCCAAAUUCACUUCUUUAACAGUUGUCAUUUUUGGGGGUGAUUUUGUAGCAAUUUCACUUGGUUGGUGGUGGUGAUAUUAUUGCCGUCUGAAUAUUUCGGAUAGACUGAUGCAGAGGUCAGUGGAGGCCUGCAAUCUGCGAUCUAGAAGCUACAGAAUUGGCGGAGAGGUAACUUCGAAGACCGAUAGAUGAAAGGAAUUGUUAUUAUGUGAGUAACCGAGAGGAUACAAGAAAGGAGAAAUGUAAAGCUAUUACAGAAUGAAUAUCAAAAAGGCUGCCUUAUUUCAUAGCCUAGAUUCCUAUUUAUAGUCAUAUAAGUCGGCUGUCAAGCUAAUGCUUAACCUGCUGACCUCGGCUGACAUCACUAGAUUCCUACUAACAAAUUGGCUAACAAACCCAGCUGUAUGGCCAUAACUAACGUGUGCAUGGCCUGCAUGGCCAUAACUAACUUUAGCUAACAAACUUCAGCUGCAUUUCCUUUGCCAUAUCCUGCGCAAAAUAUGGAAUAACCAAACACAUGCAUCAAUACCCUCCCCUCGCAGAGUCCUUGUCCUCAAGGACUGAAGUUGGGAAAUUGCAGCUUUAAGUCCUGCAGGUAAUCCCACGUAGCAUCCUCUGGGAAGCUGUUACUCCACUGGACUAAUACCUGAGUAGCUGCCACCCUACCACGCUUGACCAAACGCCUGUCUAAUAUGGCAAUGGGUUCCAACAAUAGCUGACCCUGGCGUGAGACUCCAGCUGGAAUGUGAGUAUGAGUGACCCCUGUGCCCAUUUUUUUCUUGAGCACCGAAACAUGGAAGGUGUUGUGAAUGUGAACAUGCGAAGGAAGUGCCAACUUGUAAGCCACUGCACCCACCCUUGCCAGUACUUGAAAUGGGCCAAAGUAGCGAGGAGAUAAUUUUUGACAGUGAUGAGUCCUUAACGAAUGUUGCCGAUAUGGUUGAAGCUUGACAUAGACCCAGUCACCAACGCUGAACUCCCUUUUUGAUCUAUGUUUAUCUGCCAACUGCUUCAUCCGGUGCUGCGCCUUAGUCAAAUUAUGUCGCAGGGAGUGGAUGACUUUCUCCCUUGCAUGUAAGCUUCUAUCCACAGAUUCGACCGUUGUAGCUUCCGGUAAGUAAGGAAUAUGAAUAGAGGGAGGCUGUCCAUAGACUAUUUCAUAGAGAGUAAAUUUAGCAGAAGAGUGGUGAUUCGUGUUAUACCAAUAUUCUGCUAAUGGUAGCCACAAACUCCACUCCUUAGGGUGAUCACUAGCCAUACACCUCAGGUAAUUCUCUAAGCACCUGUUAACCACCUCCGUUUGUCCAUCACUCUGAGGAUGGUAAGCAGUGGACAUAUUCAACUGAACAUGCUGUAACCUGAAUAGCUCCUGCCAAAAUGAACUCAAGAAAGUAGGAUCCCUAUCACUGACGAUUGUUUGAGGUAACCCAUGGAGCCUGUAAAUUUGAUCCAUGAACAACUGAGCGAUGGAGAUGGCUGUGUAGGGGUGAGCUACUGCUAUAAAGUGGGCGUACUUGCUGAGGCGAUCAACCACCACUAAGAUCACUUUCUUUCCAUGAGAGGGUGGUAAUCCUUCAAUAAAAUCCAUGGAGAUGUAUGUCCAGAUCCUGUGGGGUAUAGGCAAAGGUUGUAGGAGUCCAGGGUAGGGUGCAUUAUCUGAUUUAUGCCUUUGGCAAAUGUCACAGGAGGCUACGUACUGAGCCACAUCUCUAAACAUGUGCUGCCAAUAUACAACCUGUUUGAGCCUCCUGUAGGUCACAUCCACUCCUGAGUGUCCCCCUUGCGAGCUAGAAUGCCACAAGGAAAUCAACCUGUCCCUCAAGGGUUGAUCCUUGCCAACCACCAACUUACCUCUUCGUUUUAAUACCCCUUGUUGCCAAGAGUAAGUGUUGGAGUACUGGUUAUUGCGUGUCAAUUUUUGGAUUAGCUCCUGGAUGUGUAUGUCCUGCUGCCAACUUUGUUGAAUAUCCCUGAGUAAUGAAGAUGUGACUGUGACUAGAGUGUAGUUUGAACCCCCCUCCAGUGGCCGUCGGGACAAGGCAUCUGCUACAAUACUAUCACAUCCCUUUUUGUAUUGCACCUCAUAAUCAAACCCCAUUAACUUGGCUAUCCACUUCUGUUGUAAAGGUGUGUGUACCCUCUGCUCAAUUAUAUACUUCAGGCUCUGAUGAUCAGUUUUAAUAGUAAAAUGCCUUCCCACCAGAUAAGCUCUCCAUCUCAACACUGCAGUCACUAUAGCCAACAUUUCCCUUUCGUAUACAGACAGAGCUUGAUGUUUAGGACCCAAUGCCUUGCUGAAAAAGGCCAGAGGUCGCUUAUGCUGCAUCAGUACUGCCCCAAUUCCAUUCCCAGAUGCAUCAGUUUCUACAACGAACUCCUGAGUAAAAUCUGGUAAAGCCAAAACAGGUGGACUGCUCAUGGCUUCCUGUAAGUUCUUGAAGGCCUGACUAGCUGCAUCAUGCCAUUGGAACUGGUUUUUCUUAAGUAAUUCUGUCAAUGGUUUGGCAAUUUUCCCAUAAUCCUAUAUGAACCUCCUGUAGUAGCCAGUGAGCCCCAAAAACCCCCUUAGCUCCUUGACUGUCCGAGGAAGAGGCCAACUCACGAUUGCCGAAAUCUUCUGAGGGUCUGCUUGAACUCCCUCAAUAUUGAUGACAUGGCCUAGAUAAUCAAUUUGUUGCUGUGCAAAGGUACAUUUGCUUCUUUUUGCCUUCAAGGUAUGCUGCCUUAAUAAUUCGAACACCAUCCUAAGAUGUUGUAGAUGUUCCUCCCAAUCACAGCUGUAUAUCAAAAUAUCAUCGAAGAAAACCAGAAUAAAUUUCCUUAAGAAUGGCUUGAAAAUGUCAUUCAUCAAACCUUGAAAAGUUGAAGGCGCAUUAGUCAGCCCAAAGGGCAUAACCAAAAAUUCAUAGUGGCCGUCAUGAGUCCUGAAAGCUGUCUUUUCCACAUCCUCUGCCUUCAUUCUGACCUGGUGAUACCCAGAUCUCAGAUCCAGUUUGGUGAAGAACCUUGCUCCAAAUAGCUCAUCCAGUAGUUCCUCUAUCAAAGGUAUAGGGAAUUUAUUCUUUAUAGUGGCAUUGUUCAACUGCCUGUAAUCAACACACAUUCUCCAGGACCCAUCCUUUUUCUUUACCAACACUACUGGAGAAGAAAAAGUACUAGAACUAGACCUGAUGAUGCCACAAGCCAGCAUUUCAGCCACCAACCUUUCAAUCUCACCCUUUUGGAAGGCCGAAUAUCUAUAAGGUCGCACGUUGAUGGGUUCCGUCCCCUCCUUCAGAACAAUUUUAUGGUCAUGGAGCCUUUUUGGUGGCAACCCCUUAGGUUCCUGAAACAAAUCCUCAUAAUCAUUCAGUAAGUAUUCAAGUUCUACUGGAUUGCUCACCUGCUGAUCCUCAGUGUCCGCAGUAAUGGUACAGAGAGGUAAGGUGUCUGCUGUGGGGUCCUGCACUACUCUGAUUAGGCAUAGUUGCGCCUCAGCGAUUUGCUCAGGUUUUUGAAGUAUUUUCUGCAUUUUUUUCUGCUUAACCAGUUGCAGCCCUUGUCGCUUCAUUCCCCUUAAAACUACCUUAAACUCCAUCCUAAGCUCCCCAAAGUUCCAUUUCACAUCCCCAAGGGUAGUUAACCAUUGUAUGCCAAGAACGAGCUCACACCCACCCACUGGUAAUAUGAGUAGGUCAGCCUUGAAUUCCUGUCCGUGCAUUUUCCAAAUGAAGUCCUUACAAAGGUCCUGCGUGGUCAACUUAUUUCCAUCUGCCACCUCUAUCACUAGGGGAUCAACCCUGUGUGUAGUUAAACCCAACUUCUGUACAACUUUAGGGUGAACGAAAUUAUGGGAGCUACCACAAUCUAUGAAAAUGUUCACAGAUUGUCGUCCCACAUGACCCGUGACCCUCAUAGUUUUAAAAUUAGGAACACUCAUGGUAGUCAUGGCAUUAAGAGAAAUAUGUGCCAGUUGACCUUCAUCCAGUGCGUCUUCUUCUUCACUUCAUGACCCUUUCUCCUCCUCCUCUGGCAUGUCAUCCCAAACCUCCAACCUGUGGAAUUGUUUAUUACCACAUCGGUGCCCAGCUGUGAAUCUUUCGUCACACCAAAAACACAACCCCCUAGCUCUUUUCUCAUCCAUUUCUACUCUACUCAACCUCCUGAAGGGUCUUUUGGCUAUUAACUCUUUCUGCUUCUCAUUACUAGGUAGGGCUGGAAAAGUAGGGAGAUCCAAGAGUGGCUUAGAAUCUAUCUUCCAUUUGUAACCAGCUGAGUUUGUUUGGGUAGGUGCGAAAGUGCGGUUAGGAUCUGGACAACUUGUGUAAGGUUUGGCUAACCCCCUCCCUUUCUGCUGCACAAACACCUUAGCUUCUUCAAUUUUGGCCAGGGUUCUGGCAUGCUGCACGUUCCUAGACAUGAACAUUCUUACGGUCAGUUGGAUCUCUGGUUUCAACCCACUCACAAAACAACUUGUGGCGUAGUCCUCGGGGAGAUCCACCCUAUUGAGAAGCUCCUCGAACAGGUCGUGGUACUCCUGUACUGACCCAGAUUGCUUCAAGCUCUUAAGCUCUCCCAUGGGAUCGUCAUACAAGGAGUCUCCAAACCUGGAGGAUAAUUCCCUUACAUACUCCUCCCAGGCCGGAAUCUCUCGCGUAAGUCUGGAUCUCAUGAAGAUUUGGUGCCACUGAAGAGCCUUCCCCUCCAAAUUCAUGGCAGCUACUUUGACCUUUACUGAGCUUGGCGUCUCAUCCACUUCAAAGAACUGCUCACACUUGUACAACCAUCCUCUAAAAUCCUCCCCAUUGAAUUUUGGAAAGUCAAUCCGCGACAAGCGAGAGGGAACGUGGUAAUUCCCUCUAUUGCUGUUUGAAGAAUCCGAAUUAUGAGGGGAGCCGUUUCCUUCGGCCGGACCUUUCUGCGUGUGUAGUUCAACCACCAGGUUUCUUAGAGCUGCCAUUUCUUUUUCAAACUGUUCCUGUUGUUCCCUCAGCAUGGAGCGAACGUGCUCUUCCAUCUUCAUGACGUCUUGAGACCUAGUGCCCUCUGCCAUUGGUGACUUAGCUGGUUCAACCCAGCUCUGAUACCACUGAUGCAGAGGUCAGUGGAGGCCUGUAAUCUGCGAUCUAGAAGCUACAGAAUUGGCGGAGAGGUAACUUCGAAGACCGACAGAUGAAAGGAAUUGUUAUUAUGUGAGUAACCGAGAGGAUACAAGAAAGGAGAAAUGUAAAGCUAUUACAGAAUGAAUAUCAAAAAGGCUGCCUUAUUUCAUAGCCUAGAUUCCUAUUUAUAGUCAUAUAAGUCGGCUGUCAGGCUAAUGCUUAACCAGCUGACCUCGGCUGACAUCACUAGAUUCCUACUAACAAAUUGGCUAACAAACCCUGCUGUAUGGCCAUAACUAACGUGUGCAUGGCCUGCAUGGCCAUAACUAACUUUAGCUAACAAACUUCAGCUGCAUUUCCUUUGCCAUAUCCUGCGCAAAAUAUGGAAUAACCAAACACAUGCAUCAUAGACCUGUGUAUUUCCAUUAUUAUGAUAGUGGAGAUUUUGAUUGGACUAGGUCCCAUGAUUUUUCCCAAUUGGGUUUUUCACGUAAAAAUCUUGGUGUCCUAUGCUUUCUAUUUUUCUUGCAUUUUAUUAUCACUGCUAGCAUUAUUACUUGGUGAUUUGAUUUGUUCCUAUUUUAACUGGUACUUGGAAAAAGAGAAAUUUGUCCUGGGCUAACUCUGAUAUUGUGUGCCUGUACUGGUACUCCUUUCCCAACACAUUAUAGGAUGUAUUUAGUGCAGGGUCGGAUACUGUUGCAGGUACGAUAAUCUGGGCAAUGGCUUGAUGAAGAGCCCUGAAGCAAUAUUGAAGAAGGCACAAGCAGAGAUUAGAGGUGCAGUUGGAAAUAAAGAUAUAGUAAACGAAGAUGAUAUUCAAAAGCUCCCUUGUCUCAAGGCAAUUGUCAAGGAGACCUUCAGAUUGUAUCCUUCAGCUCCACUUUCAGUUCCAAGACAGACACUAGCAAAUUGCAUUAUAAAUGGUCACGAAAUCCAGUCCAAUUCUAUAGUUUACACAAAUGUCUGGGGGAUUGGAAGAGAUCCCGAGUAUUGGGAAAAUCCAAAUGAGUUUUUGCCUGAGAGAUGCUUGAAUAGUAGUGUAGAUAUGAAAGGGAAAGACUUUCAAUUGAUACCAUUUGGAGCUGGCCGAAGGGGCUGCCCUGGAUAUUCUCUGGUACUAGCAAUGGUGGAAGUUGGACUUGCCAAUCUUCUGUACUCUUUUGACUGGGAAUUGCCUUUUGGGAUCAAGAAAGACGACAUUGAUACUCAAGUUUUACCAGGUCUUACAAUGCCUAAGAAAAAUGAUCUGCCACUUCCGGCAAAAAAUGUGUAUGCGUAGCAAAUGUCAAGUGCUGGCAUCUAAAUACUUGGGACCAUGUAUUCUUUGGUUGUGGAAUUUCCUCUUUUUUUUCUUCCCUCCUUGUGUUUAGUUUGUUUUGUGACUUGCUCCUAGUCGUAUACUUAUAUUCUAUUGUCUGUUUGGAACCAAGUUUUUUGCCUAGUUUUUUUUUCUACAAGAUUUUUAACAACUUUAAUUACGAUAAUUUCAAACUCCCCAAAUUUUUUAAAAUGCAUAGCUCAAAUGCCCAAACACAAACAAAAUUUUUUUUCUUGUCUUUUUUCUUCUUCCUCCCCACAACUCAAUCUACCACCACCUCCACCAACGGCUGCCACCGGCCGCCACUCCACCGGUGCGGGCAUCGGGGCUGGUGACUCUUUUUUUUUCCCCUUUCUUUCUUUUCUCCCUCUUUCCUCCUCCUCCUUUCCUCUUCCUCCUCUCCUUCCCCUUUCCUCUCCCCCCUCCCCUGAAACCUUGUAUAAAAACAUAAGGAGAUUAUGUAGAUAAAUGUAAAAAUUACAAGCAGUAACGUGAAUAUUUAUACAAAUCAUAAGGGUGUUACAUAAAUAUUAAAAUUUUAUCACACGCUCUCUUAAAAUACAUUUGGUAUAAAUGCCAUAAUUGGCCGUGCAUUCCGUUUUUUUCUACCUUAAAAUUUAUAUAAAAGCAUAGGAGUUAUAUGAACAUUUUAAAACUCUAAAAAGUUCAUUUGACAUUAUGUAAAACCGCAUGCGGGUAACAAGUAAUUUGUCCUCUACAUAUAGGGCUUGUUUGGAAGUCCAAGUUUUUACCAAGUUUUUAUUAUACUAGUUUUUUAACAACUUGUGCUACAGGAACCCCAAAAACUUAUCAAAGUUUUUUAACCUACACACUUAAAAUAUCCAAAACAAAAAAAAAAAAAACUCCCUUCCCCUUUUCUUCUUCUUCCUCCCCCACCACUACCUCUGUCAAUUGCUUCGUCACUGGCCACCACCUCCGCCGCCGGUUCCGGCGCCGAUCACCUUUUCCGGUGCCGAUUUUUUUUUUCCUUUUUCCCUCUUCCCCUGCAAGUUUUUUUUUCUCUCUGCGUCUCCCCCCCUCCUCCCCCACCACCCUUCCCCUUCCCCUUCCCCUCUGGCCGACCUGGUCGCGAGACCAGAUCGCACCAAGGGAGGGUGAGGGUGGCGGGGAAAGGGGAGGACAGAGGGAAAUGGGGGAUUUGCCCAAAAAAAAAAAUUGACGGGUGGCGGGAUUCGGGGGUGGUAAACGGGAAGGGGCCAAGAGGUGACGGGGAGGGGGAAGGUGCGCGAGGGUGGCGGGCAGUGAGGGUGGCGGGUAGAGGGAAGGUGGGCCUGUUUGGAAGUUGCGGGGGAAGGGGUGGCGGAGGAAAGGCAGAGGGAGGGCAAAGGGAAGCGGGAUGAGGGGUGGUGGGGGAGGGGGUGGCAGAGGGGAGAAGCAAAACAGGGAGGGGGGUGGCGGGGGAAUAGGGGAUGGUGGAAAGCAGGGGGAAGCGGGGUGAGGGGAUGGCGGGGGAGGGGGAAGGCGGGCAGAGGGGGGUGGCGGGGCAGAGGGGGAGAAGCAAAGCAGGGGGUGGCGGGAGGUGGCACUGCUGGAGGCAGAGGUAACGGGGAAGGGGAAGAAGAAGAAGAAGAAAGAAAAGAGAAAGGAAAGAAAGAAAAAGAAAGAGAAAGAAAAAAAAAAAAAGAAAAGAAAAAAAAGUUUUUAACCCUACAAAAACUUCUACAAAAUUUUUUCCCUUACAAAAAACUUCUACAAAAUUUUUUGAAAAACUUCUACAGUGCACUACAGUAAAGUUUUAGACAAACUCCCAAAAAACUAAGGUUCCAAACAGGCCCAUAGUAAGAGACAGGCCUUUUAAUAUAUGUAACUAGGUCCAAGCCUUCUACAUAGAUUGGCUUAGUUUGAUAUGGGUACAAAAAAUUAAGCCCAAGUUAAAAUGGGCCGUACUUGGAUAAUGCUGAAUAUGUUCAGUCUCGUAUUUUCCCGACAAGACAGUUCAGCCAUGUUAUAUACUACCACUUACUAGUUAAAUUUAAAAAAUAAAAAAUAAAAAAAACUGGUCAAUUGCAAGAUCUUUGUUUGUUGUCAAUCAUUUCCUCCUCUUUCUUCUUCUUGUGAAGUUUAAAAUUUCCAUUGGAAAAAAAAAAUUCACUUCUUAUUAAAAAGUGGCUAUGUUAAUUAAGAAACUGUGAUGCUAAUUACGAUAAUUGUUGUAUUAAGUGUCUGAAACUUGGUUUCUAUUUACCAUAUUAUAUUUUGGAAAUAUAUUUCUUUUACAGAAUGACAAGUUGACAACUAUAAGUAACUAAAAAAAUCAAAUGAAUUAGCCAAAGUGAUGUGGCAAAAUUUCAAAUUGAAUCAUCUUCAGUGCCUUCAAAAACAUAGUCCCUUGACCACUAGACUGUAUAUAUCCCAUUCAAUUACUGGUGAUGUAAUCAUGUAAUACCGUCCAUUCUUCACAGAGCUUAUACAUCAUAAGUUUGAUAAUUUUAUGAAACUCAUGGGUCAAUACAUGUCGAUUUGUCAAGAUACUAACUUGCCAAAACUAAAUUGAAAAUCAAUACUCGAGAUCGAAAAUGAAGAAAGUAUAAGUUGAAAACAAUCAAAAUGUUCAUAAAUAUUGAAGGGCAUAUGAGCAAAUUCACCCUAUUCCUGUAAAGAAAGUCGCAAAAAAAAAAAAAAAAUUCCUUCACCUUAUCUCUAUGGUUUAGUCUAACGUCCUCAAUUCGAAGGCCAAUUUGAUAUGUUUUAGAUAAAUUGUUUAAGCAAAAUGUGAUGCAAAACCUUUGACUUACGAUAGGCGAAGUCAUGGAAGAUGCAAUUAUUGGGGUUAUAAAACCAAGCAAUUCCAACUUGCAUUACGUCAGUGCUGUACAAAUUAUUUCCAAUCAAACUAUUGUAUAAAAAUCCAAGGAGUAUGCGGUUGGGAUUCUUAAUAAUAAAUAGGUAAGUAGUACAAGUUCAAAAUUAGGGUUAAUCACCAAAAUUCAAGGAGGUGGUUAGACCAUGAUCAUGGGACAAUUGAUUUUAAAAAGUUCACUAGUCAACCCUUGAAAUGAAACACUUCUUACGUUGCAAUUGAUUAUUCUUCUUACUUAUUACAUAAGUAGAAUUUUGUCCGUACCUUAGCACAGUCUUUUUUUUUUUUAAUUUAUUGUGAAUUUAUACAAAUAUGAAUAAUUUAAAUACAAAAAUUAACAACAAUCCUACGUGUUGCGCGCAUGGUCCUUGAGUUUAUAGAAUACAUUUUCUUUGCAAAUAAUUUCUGCAUUCUUUACGUAAUGCUUAUCAGAAAUGAUUCCGGAUCACAUUGUUUGGUUUUCUAAACUGUUCCUACGUCCCAAUAGUUGAGGAUCUAACUGCAUUCAAGCAUCUUCCAUGACUUCAUUUACGAAAAAAAGUCAAAGAUUUCAUAGCACAGUUUGCUUAAAUUAAAAGAUUUGUUUCAACAUAUUAAAUUUACCUUCGUACUUGCUGCCUCAGUUAGACUUAACACUAGAAAUAAAUUAAUAUGUGAAGGUUUAUUUCAAUGAUUUGCCAUACAAGUAAGUACUCCUUCUUUCCGUUCUAUUGUUAAUGUAUUUGUUUCUUCCAUACUUGCAUCAUAAUUCGCAGGUAACAGCCCAUUUUGUAGAGUAUAUAUGCUCCAGUGCUCGACAUCAGCAGAUCGAAAAUGAGUGCGAAGUUCAAUUCUGCUAACAUUUGAUGUGAGACCCCCACAGCAAUCAUUCCAUUAAACCAAAGUGACUAGUUAUUAUAGCAAAUGCUGGAAGGAUGAUUUUCCAAAGCAAUCUUAGGUUAAUGGAAAAGCGAUGUUAUCUAUACAAACUUCCCUCUAAGCUUCGUCGGCUUACGGGUUUGAGCUUCCAAUACAAACGUAUGAAACUCUUUCAUUUCAAAUGGCCGUACAUUGUAUAGGAACUACACAUUCUGAUCCCAUUUGACAUGUUUUUUCUUACUACGAAGACACACGUUUCUUUGCCACAAGUCGCAGGACAUUUUUCUUAAGCAUAGCAAGACCAGGUAAAACAUCAGUAUCAAUGUCCUCUUUCUUCACUCCAGAAGGCAAUCCCCAAUUGAAUGAGUUCAAAAGAUUAGCAAGUGCAAGCUCCACAGCUGCUAUUCCCAGGGAGUAUCCCGGGCAGCCUCUUCUGCCUGCCCCAAACGGGAUCAAUUGAAAGUGUUUCCCUGUUGCAUCUAUAGUACUAUUCAAGAAUCUCUCAGGCAAGAACUCAUGUGGAUUUUCCCAAUACUCAGGAUCUCUUCCAAUUGCCCAAGCGUUCACGUAAACGGUAGUCUUGGGCUGGAUCUGAUAGGUUGCAUUUUAGUGGGUAUUUUGGGCAUUAUUGCAUAAUUAAUUGACUAAAUAUUUUCGUUAAUUGGGUGGAUUCUACUGAUAUUUUGUUUUGGUGCUAAUUGCAGGAAUGGUUGCUGAAAAGCGCUUAAAUUCAACUUUUAGAAGAUUCAUCGGAGUGGGGCCCGUUUGAGAAGCGGAAAAAACCUAAUUGUAAUAGAUUUUAUUUUAAUAUAUAUUUCUAGGGAGUCUUGCUGCAAUUUUGAGAAGUAACAAUUUGUAAUUUAUCUCUGGCGCGGCUUAGGUUAGAGAGGAGUCUUCGUUUUUGGUUUUUGAAUGAGAGGAGAGAGCCGCAGCCUGGAGGGGAAAAAGGCAACGGACAGAAGCCAUCAUUGUUGACUUGUGAGAAACGAAUUCUUCAUGUUUGGACUUGACAACUUGAGAAAUCAAGCAAUUGAGAAACUUUCACUACUAAUCUCCUGCCACAAAACAUUAAACCAUCAAUUGACACUAAUACAUAACUAAAACUUCAAAAAUGCAUGAAAACUGCCACAAAUAUUCUUGGGUUGCCUCCCAAGUAGCGCCUUUCUUUAAUGUCUUUGGCUAGACAUGGCCAAAACCCUCAAGCAUGAGAAAGUGGAUCGUGGAGGUGUUCAACCUCUACUUCUUCAACAUAGAAACCCUCAUAAUAAGGUUUGAGACGAUGGCCAUUCACCACGAACUUUUUCUCCGUGUUUAAACUCUGGAUCUCCACUGCACCAUAAUGGAACACAUUAGAAACGACAAAUGGACCAAUCCAACGAGAACGCAACUUACCGGGAAAAAGUUUAAGCCUUGAGUGAUACAAGAGGACUUUUUGCCCCACUACAAAAGUUUUCCUAGAAACCUGUUGAUCAUGAAAGAUUUUACUCUUUUGCUUAUAGAUCGUGGCAUUCUCAUAAGCUUCAUUUCUUAUCUCCUCUAACUCCUGUAGUUGCAAUUUCCUUUGGACCCCUGCUUCGUCAAAUCCCAUGUUACAUUGCUUCACUGCCCAAAACGCCUUGUGUUCGAACUCCACGGGGAGAUGGCAAGCCUUACCGAAAACAAGUCUAUAGGGAGACAUCCCAAUUGGCGUCUUAUACGCGGUUCUGUACGCCCAUAGUGCGUCCUCUAACUUUAAACUCCAAUCCUUCCUGUCCGGGCGCACCAUCUUCUCCAAGAUCGACUUGACUUCCCUGUUCGACACUUCGGCUUGACCGUUCGCCUGCGGGUGAUACGGUGUGGAUACCUUGUGCAGUACACCGUAUUUUCGAAACAAGGCCGUGAUAGUCUUGUUGCAGAAAUGUGUCCCUCUAUCACUAACCACAGCUCUUGGCAUCCCAAAACGGACAAAGAUAUUAGACUUUAAGAACUCUGCAACCACUCUAGAAUCAUUAGUACGGGUGGCUUUGGCUUCCACCCAUUUAGAAACAUAAUCCACAACAAGUAAAAUGUAUAGGAAACCAAAAGAUGAGGGAAAAGGACCCAUAAAAUCUAUCCCCCAAACAUCAAAAAUUUCAACAAACAACAUGGGGGUUUGAAGCAUUUGGUCCCUGCGAAAAAUAUUCCCCACCCUUUGACACCUAUCACAGGAUUUACAGAAUAAAUAAGCAUCUUUGAACAGGGUGGCCCAGUAAAAACCACUCUCUAACACCUUUCGAGCUGUUCGUUUGGGCCCAAAGUGCCCUCCACAUGCAAACGAAUGACAGAAAUUUAAAAUGGAGUGAAAUUCACCUGCACUUACACACCUCCUGAGCACUUGAUCCGAACAUUGUCUCCAAAGGUACGGGUCGUCCCAAAUGUAAUAUUUGGCAUCACUUUUCAACUUGUCUCUCUUAGCCUUGGGCCACCCUGCAGGCAAUUGAUUAGUCACCAAGAAAUUUACUAUAUCAGCAUACCAGGGUGUAGACGAGUUAAUGGCAAGUAGUUGCUCCUCUGGAAAUGCCUCCCUCAAUGGUAGCUCUUCCUUAUGAGCAAGCAAGCGGCUCAAAUGAUCAGCGACUAGGUUUUCUGCCCCACUCUUAUCUUUAAUCUCCAAAUUGAACUCUUGGAGGAGCAGGAUCCAUCUGAUAAGCCUUGGUUUAGCAUCUUUCUUCGUCAUCAGAUAUCUCAAGGCUGCAUGGUCAGAAAAAACUAUUACUUUUGCACCUAGCAAGUAUGGUCUAAAUUUUUCUAGUGCAAAAAUCACAGCAAGUAAUUCUUUCUCUGUUGUAGAAUAAUUGAGUUGAGCUCCAUUCAACGCCUUUGAUGCAUAAUAGAUUGCAUGAGCCGCCCUACCAAUCCGUUGCCCCAACACUGCUCCCACUGCAUAAUCACUCGCGUCACACAUUAUCUCAAAUGGGAGGCUCCAGUCUGGAGGUUGGAUAACAGGUGGUGAUGUCAAUGACUCCCUCAAUCUGUCAAAUGCCACCUUGCACUCCUCGGUGAAGUCAUAUGCUACAUCUUUUUGCAACAGCUUGAACAGGGGCGCUCCAAUUUUCGAGAAGCCUUUUAUGAAUCUCCUGUAGAACCCUGCAUGACCCAAAAAGGAGCGCACCUCCCGCACACUUGCGGGGUAAGGUAAAGCGGAAAUAAUAUCGACUUUUGCCUUGUCUACCUCUAUACCUCUGGACGACACUACAUGCCCUAAAACAAUACCAUGAUCCACCAUGAAAUGACAUUUUUCCCAAUUUAGAACCAAAUUUGUCUCAAUGCAUCUUUUCAAAAUUAAAGCUAAAUUAUCAAGGCAUUCAUCAAAACUAUCUCCAUACACACUAAAAUCAUCCAUAAACACCUCAAUAAUUUUUUCUACAUAUUCAGAAAAUAUACUUACCAUACACCGCUGAAAAGUUGCUGGGGCGUUGCAGAGGCCGAAAGGCAUCCUCCGGUAGGCAAAUGUACCAAAGGGACAGGUGAAGGUAGUCUUCUCCUGAUCCUCUGGUGCUAUUACGAUCUGAAAAUAACCAGAGAAGCCAUCAAGAAAACAGUAAUAGACACGGCCCGCUAACCUUUCUAUCAUCUGAUCAAUAAAAGGCAGAGGGAAGUGGUCCUUCUUCGUCACAGCAUUCAGACGCCGAUAGUCAAUGCACUGGCGCCAUCCUGUGGGUUUCCUCACCGGGACCAUCUCACCCUCUUGGUUCUCCUCAACUGUUACUCCCGCCUUUUUCGGGACUACUUGCACGGGACUCACCCAGGGACUAUCUGAGAUGGCGAAAAUUAUUCCAACUUCUAGGAAUUUAAGUAUCUCGUUCUUGACCACUUCCAUCAUUAGUGGGUUCAAUCUCCGUUGCCCUUGUCUAACUGGCUUUGCAUCAUCCUCAAGCCGGAUUCGAUGCAUGCAUAAGGAGGGGCUAAUUCUUUUGAUAUCUGCUACACUCCACCCAAUCGCCUCCUUAUGAUCUCGGAGAAGACGAAUUAGUCUAUCUUCUUGCCUUGGUGACAGGUGUGCCGAUAUGAUGACUGGCAGUGUCUCAUUGUCCCCGAGAAAAGCAUACUUCAAAUGCUUUGGGAGAGGUUUGAGCUCCAACUCAGGCGCCUGCACAAUAGAAGGCAACAAUUUUGCCUGAGUUUCUGGUACAAAAACAGAAGUAAGCUCAUACCUUGGGGAAAUUGGUGGGAGCGAAUGCAGUGCUCCAACAGCGUGGUAUAGCUCAUCAUUUAUUUCUACAUCAAGAGUUGCUCCCAACUCAAGAUGUUUGGUCAAUGCCACUGCCAGUGCAUCAACCCCAUCCAAUUCAAAUAUUUCUUGUACAAGGGGCUCAACAACACUUAAAGCAUAAACAGAGUUAGUCUCAUCUGGGUACUUCAUCGCCUCAAAAAUAUUAAAAUUUACAAUUUUCCCAUCAAACUCCAUCGACAAGGUACCCUCAUUUACAUCUAUUUUAGUCCUAGCAGUGCUUAAAAAUGGCCUACCUAACAGAAUAGGAGACGGAUUUAGUGCCCUUUCAUCCCCCAUGUCUAGGACAUAGAAAUCUGCAGGAAAAACUAACUCAUUGACCUGUACCAAAACAUCUUCAACUAACCCUUCCGGGUAAGCAUUGGUACGGUCUGCAAGUUGGAUUAUAAUGCCUGUGCCUUUUAACGGGCCAAGAUUUAGAGAUGCAUAGAUUGUCUUGGGCAUAACAUUAAUUGACGCCCCCAAAUCCAACAUUACUUUCCUAAUUGGAGUACCUCCUAUCUUGCAGGGAAUGGUGAACAUACCUGGGUCUCCACAUUUUGGUGGGAGCUUCCUCUGGAGUAUAGCUGACACGUUUUCUCCCACCGCCACUCGUUCAUCUCCCCUUAGCUUCCUCUUGUGGGUGCACAGGUCCUUCAGAAAUUUGGCAUAUUUCGGUAUUUGCUUGAUUGCAUCCAGUAGGGGGAUGUUAAUCUCUACUUUUCUGAAUACAUCCAAAAGUUCCUUUUCCCUCUCUACUUUCCUUGUCUUUUCCAACCUGCAAGGAAAAGGGGGUAAGUUAGAGCUGAUAGUGAGUGGAGAGGUGGAGGAUACCUUAGGAUCUUCACGAACACGUCCUUCCUCCUCAAUUUCCUUUUCUAUCCCCUCCUCGCUUUUGCUUUUUGAAUUUUUCACUUUAGGUUCUUCCAGCUCCUUGCCACUCCUCAGCGUCAUGGCACUUACAUUCCUGGGAUUUACCUCGGGUUGCGAUGGCAGUUUCCCAUAAACGUGAGAUUCCAAGCGGUUGAUGGCAGUUGCCAGUUGACUUAUUCGAACAUCUUGGUCUUUCUUGUCAGCUUUGGUGUCCUGCUGGAGCUGCUCGGUUUUCGCGGCCAAGGAUCUGAUCUCCUGUUGAAGCUGUGUAGUAGUCGUGGCCAGGUUGGUAGUAGUCGUGGCCAGGUUCUUGACUAGGUCCUCCAAAGAGCUUCCUGUAUUGGAGGAUGAGGGUUGAGAUUUUGGUUGCCAAGGCUGGUGGAAUCCUGGUGGACGAUUCGGGAAUGAACCUUGUUGCCUGUUCCCGUAACUGAGAUUGGGGUGGUCUCUCCAACCGGGGUUGUAUGUGUUGGAAUACGGGUAAUAUUGCCUGCGGGGCGCGGGCACGCCUCCGGCCAUGUUUACCUGUUCCGCCCCGUCCUCUUGCAGAAUGGGGCACGAAUCCGUGCAGUGGUCCAUGCUAGUACAGAUUCCACACACCUUUGCUCGCGGUGUAUCUCUCAUGGCCAACUGCCUGACUGCAGACGUCAACUCUGACAGUUGCUGCUGGAUGGAUGACGUCUCUGCCUCAUUUACCCUACGGGUAGGAUUGCUCUCACGGAAGCCGAACUGCUGAGAGUUUUCUGCCAUGGCUUCAAUAAGGUCCCAUGCUUCCCUCGGUGUUUUGUUCGCCAGGGCUCCUCCACUCGCAGCGUCAAUAAUACCCCUGUCAGUUGACUGGAGCCCUUCAUAGAAGUACUGGAUCAACAGUUGUUCGCUAAUCUGAUGCUGUGGGCAUCCCUUGCACAACUUGUUGAACCUUUCCCAAUAAUCGUACAAUGAUUCCCCGGAGUACUGCUUGAUACUGCAUAUUUCCUUUCUCAAACUCGCAACCCGGGAUGCGGGAAAAAAUUUUUCCAGAAAUUUCUUUUUCAACUGUGCCCACGUGAUGAUACUACCUGCAGGUAGGUAGUAUUGCCAAUCUUUCGCUGCAUCCUUGAGAGAGAAAGGGAAAGCCCUGAGUCGUAUUUGCUCUUCGGUGACCGCUGGGGGUUUCAUGCUAGAGCAAACCACUUCGAAUUCCUUGAUAUGUUUGUGGGGUUCCUCACCAGAAAGGCCAUGGAACGAAGGUAGGAGUUGAAUCAACCCCGAUUUCAACUCGAAUGAGGUAUUCUCAGCCAGAGUUGGGAACGUGAUGCACAAGGGCUGAUGAGUCAGUUCUGGGGUAGCCAGCUCCCGUAAUGUCUGGGUGUUGGCCAUGCUCAAUUCGUCUUCUAUUGACUCGUUUUCAGAAAAUGAGUACCCUUCUUUUUGUCUCUUGGUCUCUUGCCUUCGCCUACGUGCUGCCUUCUCAACCUCAGGAUCGUAUAUCAAGUCACCUGUGCGAGAAGAACGGGGCAUAAACUAGCAAAAGUACCAAGAAAAAGAAAAAUAAAACAAAAUAAAAACUGAAUUCAAAAAGAAACAACUAAUUCAGACGCCAGUCCCCGGCAACGGCGCCAAAAAUUGACAGGUGCCCUACUGGAGCUCUGCUGGUGGUGAGGGGCGCCUGGACAGAGCUCGCGUGCGUUUGGGCUGCCUGCGAGAGGGGCUCGCGCGAGGAGGCUGCUAACGACCCGAGCGCGCGAGCGAGGCUGCUGCUGGGUGGAUGCUGUGCUGGAGUGGCGCGCUCUGUACGCGCGGAGGAAGUGCGCGGCCUGGGCGCGGCUGCUCGAGCUGAUGGCGGCGCACGGACUGCGCUGGAGUCGCGUGCACUGGAGGGGGCCGAAGGCUUCUGGUCUGCGCGCGCGGGCUGUGGUCCAGACUGCGGCUGCUGCUGGGUGGAUCUGGACCAGCGCAGGAGGACGCGCGCGGUCUGAUUCUGGCUGCGCGCUAGCGCGCGGCAGGCGAGGCUGGGCGAGGCAGGCGGCGGCGCGAUGGGCUGGCGGCAGGCGCGCGCGGUCUCGCGCUGCUAGGAGACGCGGCUGUGCAGCGACCGCGAUGGACGGCGUGUGGUGCGGCGGCGGACCAAGCAAAAGAAGGAAAAGAAGAAAAGAAAGAAAAGGGAGAAGAAAGAAGAAAGAAAGAAAAAGGAAGACAAGAAGAAGUAGGGCUACGGAAGUUUUUUUUUUUUUUUUUUUUUUUUUUUUUUUUUGACCACCUAGCGUGGGCACGCCUAACUGCCAUGUAGCCCGCAGAUUCUGAACGAAAAUUUCCUCCGUCAGGCGUGACCAUCUGGCGUGGGCACGUCUAACUACUAUGGAGUUCGCAGAAUCUGAACGAAAAUUUCCUCCGUCAGGCGUGACCAUCUGGCGUGGGCACGUCCAACUACUAUGGAGUUCGCAGAACCUGAGCGAAAAUUCCUUUUCCUCAGGCGUGAUCACCCGGCGUGGGCACGCCUAACCACUAAUCUCCUGCCACAAAACAUUAAACCAUCAAUUGACACUAAUACAUAACUAAAACUUCAAAAAUGCAUGAAAACUGCCACAAAUAUUCUUGGGUUGCCUCCCAAGUAGCGCCUUUCUUUAAUGUCUUUGGCUAGACAUGGCCAAAACCCUCAAGCAUGAGAAAGUGGAUCGUGGAGGUGUUCAACCUCUACUUCUUCAACAUAGAAACCCUCAUAAUAAGGUUUGAGACGAUGGCCAUUCACCACGAACUUUUUCUCCGUGUUUAAACUCUGGAUCUCCACUGCACCAUAAUGGAACACAUUAGAAACGACAAAUGGACCAAUCCAACGAGAACGCAACUUACCGGGAAAAAGUUUAAGCCUUGAGUGAUACAAGAGGACUUUUUGCCCCACUACAAAAGUUUUCCUAGAAACCUGUUGAUCAUGAAAGAUUUUACUCUUUUGCUUAUAGAUCGUGGCAUUCUCAUAAGCUUCAUUUCUUAUCUCCUCUAACUCCUGUAGUUGCAAUUUCCUUUGGACCCCUGCUUCGUCAAAUCCCAUGUUACAUUGCUUCACUGCCCAAAACGCCUUGUGUUCGAACUCCACGGGGAGAUGGCAAGCCUUACCGAAAACAAGUCUAUAGGGAGACAUCCCAAUUGGCGUCUUAUACGCGGUUCUGUACGCCCAUAGUGCGUCCUCUAACUUUAAACUCCAAUCCUUCCUGUCCGGGCGCACCAUCUUCUCCAAGAUCGACUUGACUUCCCUGUUCGACACUUCGGCUUGACCGUUCGCCUGCGGGUGAUACGGUGUGGAUACCUUGUGCAGUACACCGUAUUUUCGAAACAAGGCCGUGAUAGUCUUGUUGCAGAAAUGUGUCCCUCUAUCACUAACCACAGCUCUUGGCAUCCCAAAACGGACAAAGAUAUUAGACUUUAAGAACUCUGCAACCACUCUAGAAUCAUUAGUACGGGUGGCUUUGGCUUCCACCCAUUUAGAAACAUAAUCCACAGCAAGUAAAAUGUAUAGGAAACCUAAAGAUGAGGGAAAAGGACCCAUAAAAUCUAUCCCCCAAACAUCAAAAAUUUCAACAAACAACAUGGGGGUUUGAAGCAUUUGGUCCCUGCGAAAAAUAUUCCCCACCCUUUGACACCUAUCACAGGAUUUACAGAAUAAAUAAGCAUCUUUGAACAGGGUGGCCCAGUAAAAACCACUCUCUAACACCUUUCGAGCUGUUCGUUUGGGCCCAAAGUGCCCUCCACAUGCAAACGAAUGACAGAAAUUUAAAAUGGAGUGAAAUUCACCUGCACUUACACACCUCCUGAGCACUUGAUCCGAACAUUGUCUCCAAAGGUACGGGUCGUCCCAAAUGUAAUAUUUGGCAUCACUUUUCAACUUGUCUCUCUUAGCCUUGGGCCACCCUGCAGGCAAUUGAUUAGUCACCAAGAAAUUUACUAUAUCAGCAUACCAGGGUGUAGACGAGUUAAUGGCAAGUAGUUGCUCCUCUGGAAAUGCCUCCCUCAAUGGUAGCUCUUCCUUAUGAGCAAGCAAGCGGCUCAAAUGAUCAGCGACUAGGUUUUCUGCCCCACUCUUAUCUUUAAUCUCCAAAUUGAACUCUUGGAGGAGCAGGAUCCAUCUGAUAAGCCUUGGUUUAGCAUCUUUCUUCGUCAUCAGAUAUCUCAAGGCUGCAUGGUCAGAAAAAACUAUUACUUUUGCACCUAGCAAGUAUGGUCUAAAUUUUCAAAUGACUAAACCCAAGAACAAAGGCAAAAACACGCCCUCCACUUCCACCCCUCAGCCUACGGUCCCCUUAGAGAGACCUUCCCCAUCGACUGGGCCUGGAGGACCCCGUACUCGCCUUGGGCGGAAUAGGGAGGUUCAUAUCUCCUCUCCGGCCCAUUUUGGCGGUCACUUGACCUUCACCCGGGCUGCCGACAAGGAGCGGUAUGCAUCGGCUUGCACAAGGAAGAUUAUUCCUUGUAAAUACAUCCAUGGCCCUACACUUGAUAUUUUAAACCUGAGGGAUGAAGUCACGCAGCACUUGACUAACGUAGGUUGGACCCGCUAUGCUUCUAUCAUUUUACCUGCUUUCACUGAACUGACGUGGGAAUUCUAUGCUACCUUUGAACUUAAUAUUCCUGAUGAAUUUUCCGUUACCACUCCUGGGGUAGUGAGGUUUCGAUUAAUGGGUAGAGAGUUCAUCCAAUCUAUAACUGAGUUUAAUUUGGCUUUUGGGUUUAUUGAUAUUCCCUACUCCCAGAGUGAGGAGUACAUGCACAGUGUGUGCGAGUACUCGGAGCCAUUUUUCUCUCAUUACCUUGAUUAUUGGAGUGGUUUGUCAGUUGACCGACAAUGCUAUGACCCCAGUCAGUCUAAGGCCUCUUAUCUUAAGAGCGCCGCCUACCGCUAUUUACAUCGAUUCAUGGCCUAUAGUUUCUCAGGUAGGAAGGAUAGCUCGGGUACUCUGACUAAGCCGGAGUUCUUUUUCGUUUGGUGCAUGGUCACUCGGACUAAGGUCAAUGUGGGUGGCUGGUUUGCCCUCCAGCUCCGAACUGUGCUAACUAAGAAAAAUAAGCCAUUAAUCUUAGGCUCAUUUAUCACUCAGUUGGCAGUGAAUCUUGGGGUUUUGGACUUAAAUAACCAUAAUUUGCAUCGUGCUUGUACUAUGGAACCUCUCGAUUUGGUUUGUUUGGAGAGAAUGGGUCUUGUGCGACAGGUUAAUGGCGUUUUCCAGUUUGCUCCCCCGGGGCCAAUCUCUGUUCCUCCGAAGCGCAGCGCUUCCAAAUCCACUGCCCCGGAGGCUGGUGGUCCUUCUACGGAUACACCUGGACCUUCCUCUUCGGCACCCCCACCAUCUUCCUCCGUCGAUAGCCAGCUUGCAGCUCUUCGGUUCCAGAUGCAACACAUGGACAAUCGUAUGGAUCGAAUGGAGGGCCAAAUGGCCGGCAUGGCCCAGAAUUUAGCGCAGUACCUCCACCACGUGGGUUUCCGGCCACCGUGCCCUCCACGACCUUAGUUCACCUCUGCCCCGCCAUAUUAAGGGAAGUGUCGUGCCUUUAUCGCUUUAUUUUCCUCUUUAUCCGCUUCCAUUGGGGACAAUGAAAGGUUUAGGUGUGGGGGAGGGUUAACUAUGCUUUGGUUGUGCUUUUCGUUGUCUGAUUGAGUUUUUCCUUGCCUUAGUAGUUGUCUUUUCUUUGAACGAUGAUGAAUGCGAAUUGGGAUAUAAGCGUACAUAGUAAGUUCAUGCCAUGGGGUGUUCCACUUUCCUUGAUACUGAAUUGAUUGAUUAAUAUGCUGAACUUGACAUCCAUUUGAUCACUUGUGCGAUUUUUUUUUGGCCUAAUUUUCGUUUUGUUGAGUGGUUAGUGCACAUGGUUUGUCAUUCUAGAACUUGCUCGGUUAUGCAUGUCAAGAUCACAUUUAAAUGAAUUUAAUGCAUUGAAAUGAUAGGGCACCUAGGAAUGAGCCAUUUUUGGGACUUUCUUAAAACCAACCCUUGGAUUAUUUAUUAUCAUUAGGGAGCCAAGUUGAGCCUUAACCCCUAUUCGUUGCUUGAGACCCCAGCUCUUAGCCGUGAAACCUCUUUUUAGACUUUGUUUUUGAACCUCGUGUGAAGAAGUGCUUUGAUUUCAUUAUACAGACUUUUGGAGUGUUAUUCGAAGGGCAUUACACCCAUUUAUGUAUCUAAAAAAAAAAAAGAGAAAAAAAAAGAAAGAGAGAAAGAGAAAGUUGACUUUUAUGUGAAAAGAAGACAAAGUGCAGGAAACCAGCAAGUAAAGUUGACUUUUAGGGUGCUGGUUGGGAGUAUUGGAAACAAAAAAAAAAAAAAAAAAAAGAAGGAGAAAAGGCGAAGGUUGUGGCAAGUGCUAGUUCGCUUCACUUGUGUGAUGGUUGAGGUGCCUUUAAAUUUCAAAUGUGCAAGAAUCUAUGUAAUGAAUUUCUGGGCACUUUCUUUAUACUUUUGCACCCUUUUGACUCCUUUUUAUCCUACCUUCUCACCCUAGCCCCACUACAACCUUGCAAAGUCCCUUGAUUGCUGCAUUUAAAUUCAUGAGUAGGUGGUGGAGAUAUGAUAUAUGAGCAAGCUUAUGGUAGUGUCAUUCUAUUGUGUUGAUUUGAGAGCCAUCUUAUAUACAUUUCAUAUACACUUUGGAGUGAACGAGUGCAUUUGGAACUGUGAGCAUUGUUGAUUUGGUAUAUUCUGAUUUCGAUGAGGUUAGUGGGGAGAUUGGGAUGCCGUUUUUGGUAUGAACUGCUGUGAUUAGCUUCGUAUCUCGAUUGUAUUUCUGAGUAAUUAUGCUUGAGGGCAAGCAUAGUUCAGGUGUGGGGGAGAUUGAUAGGUUCCAUUUUAGUGGGUAUUUUGGGCAUUAUUGCAUAAUUAAUUGACUAAAUAUUUUCGUUAAUUGGGUGGAUUCUACUGAUAUUUUGUUUUGGUGCUAAUUGCAGGAAUGGUUGCUGAAAAGCGCUUAAAUUCAACUUUUAGAAGAUUCAUCGGAGUGGGGCCCGUUUGAGAAGCGGAAAAAACCUAAUUGUAAUAGAUUUUAUUUUAAUAUAUAUUUCUAGGGAGUCUUGCUGCAAUUUUGAGAAGUAACAAUUUGUAAUUUAUCUCUGGCGCGGCUUAGGUUAGAGAGGAGUCUUCGUUUUUGGUUUUUGAAUGAGAGGAGAGAGCCGCAGCCUGGAGGGGAAAAAGGCAACGGACAGAAGCCAUCAUUGUUGACUUGUGAGAAACGAAUUCUUCAUGUUUGGACUUGACAACUUGAGAAAUCAAGCAAUUGAGAAACUUUCACUCUCGUGUAUCUUGACUUCAAUUGGAAAAAGGAAGAAAGCUUAAAGGAGCCGCCAUUGUUGACUUUGCUCUUGGGCUGUCCUACCUUGUGCGAAUCGAAUUGGAGAACAAAAGCAAUCUCUCGUAUGUUUCCACUUAACAAUCGAGAGCAAUACAAAUUUGAGCUUUCUCCUCCUGUGGUGGACCGAAGCGGGAUAAUCGAAGUGCAAACCUUUCUCAGUUUUCCACGCGCGGUUUGUCCUCCAUUAAUGGAGGGCUAAUUCUCUAAUUCUAGUCAAGGGACAGCUGAUGAAUUGGUUCAAUUAAUGCUGUGAGAUCUAAACCGCUUUUAAUUAUUUCCUCCGUUUAUUGGUAUUUAUAUGUUCUUUGCUUUUAACUGUUAUAGCUCUUGUGUAUGAUUGAUUAGUGCGCAAUAAUUAAUUAUUCAUAUAGGCUAUUUUGCUAAAUAGAGGUAAUUGAAUCCGUAAUUGUUCGUUACCUCUAUCCCAGUAGCAACUGGUAUAAUUGGGUUUAUGUCAGGGGAAUAUAUGAUCUAGCUUAAAUAAACCCUCGUAGCGUGUUUAUUGGUUAGGAUUGGGCCUUUCUAAUUAUUAAUGCAAUCUGGAAAUUGAAUCCUACGGUCGUACCUAGGGUUGUUUUUGGGUUAGAGAAAUAGCUAACGGUCGUACCUUGGCUAUCGAUAAAUUAAGGAAGGGUUGGUUGUUUAGCGCGUGCGAGACAACUAGAACCAAUCUAUUAAUAAAUGUUGGAAUUACCUUUGAAUCAAUGAUCAGUGCAUGAACCAUUUCUGAAGUAUACCCUUGGCUAGAGUUUCUCUCAUUUAUUUCUUUUAAUUAAUUAUUUUCUGCAGUUAAUUUGUUUAGUUGGCAUUUGAUACCAAAACCCCCCAUUAAUCUUGAUUUGAAAAGAAACAAAUAUAUCUCCAGUCCCUGAGGAGACGACCCUGCUUACCACUAUCUACUAGUUAGAGAACUCAGUUAAAUAAUUGAUUCAGGUAUAUCGGAUUAAGCAAACUCUUCGGGAACAGGGUGAAUCAAGUAACCCAUUGCACACCUAGAGUCCCUGCUCCAGUACUCGAAUUGAUUACUAGCUGUUGCAGGUGGUAGUUAGGAUUUAUUUAUUAUUAUUGCACAGGUUCGGCACCUGUCAGGAUCUCAUACCCGUCUAGGAUGCAACUUUCCAUUGUGUAUCUUGGGACUAAAAGAGGAGCAACUGGGUACAAUCUCAUAGUCUCCUUGAUGAUUGCUUUGAGAUAGGGAAGCUUUUGAAUAUCAUCUUCAUCUAUCAUUUUUUUCUCUCCAAGCACCUCUUGGAUUUCGUUUUGAGCUUUUUCCAGUGCCGUAGGGUUCUUGAUAAGUGCUGUCAUUGCCCAGAUUACUGUGCCUGCUGAAGUUUCUGACCCGGCAAAAAAUACGUUCUGCAGUUGUUUAUUGAAAAACAAAAAAGAUAAUCAUCAAUGAAUUUCCUAAGCCUAAAACUUUUCAUGUGUUUGGGUUGAAGAUCAUUUAGAAAUUUUUUUCAGACAGUAAAAAUGUAAAAUUUUUGGAAUGUGAUGUAUGAGCGAUAAAGAGAUGGAUAAACAUUAUGUUUAGGAAAUAUUACAAAUUCUUUUUUUCUGAAAAAGGGCUGAGUCCAAUGCUUCUUGUUCAUCAAGACCAAUUGUAUCGAAUUGAAAUAAAUCAACAUUUGUGUAAGACAAAAUUAUGACUCUCAUCCUAUCCAAUUCUGGUGGAGACCCAAAACACAACCUCUCUAUCAGAAUUUGAACUUGGAGUUGGUAUGUAAUAGUGCCAAUUAACUUAAGGAUGUAAAUAGAAAAACAAAUAAAUAACGCUGUGUUUGGCUUUGUGUCAGAAUUAAAUUGUAUAGUAUUCAUAUUAAGCAGCAUUAUUUUUCAUAAGAUAUGAUUGCAAUUUCAAGUAGAAAAGAACUAACAGAACCUGUAUAUCACACUCUGUACUGGAAUAGUAUGUUAAAGAGUUAGUUUAUUACCAUAAGCGUGGCCUUGAUGUGAUCCACAGUCAGAUCAAACGGAGUUGAUCUGUCCUUCUGUAAUUGAAUCAAGAGAUCAAUAAUGUCUCCAUCCAUUGACGUUGGCCUAUUUGGAUCCAGGUGCUCAUCAAUGAGUUCUUGGUAGAACAAAUCAAGCUUGUUGAAAACUUUCUCCAGUCGAGAUAGCAUCCCAGUGUAUUUAUCCAACCAACCAAUUGUAGGAAAAUAAUCAGAGAAAUAGAAUGCAACAAACAUUGCCUGAGCUUCUUGCAAGAGAAAGUGGAAUCUUUUUCUUUCUUGGCCUUCCUCGUCAUACCUUUUUCCAAAUCCAAUUCGGCAAAUCAUUGUACUUGUGAGAGACAAUAAAGUGUGAGUCAAGUCAGUUACUUGUGAUGAAGCAGAUUCCCGGUAUAUCUUUUGAAUCAUUCGGUAGACCUCAUCUUCGCGUAUAGGACGAAAUGAUUGAACUCUCUUGGAGCUCAAGAGAUGAAGAACACAAAUCUUUCUCAAUUCUCUCCAUUGCUCAUUGUACAGUGCGAACGCGAUGUCCAGGCCAUUGUAGGACAAUUUUCGCUGGCCAAGCAUAGGUGGCCGGCUACAGAAAAUUAAGUCAUGAUUUUUCAUAACUUCUUCUGCCAUUCUUGCUGAAGAAACCACAAGUACUGGCAUGGAUCCAAGCUUGAGGGACAUGAGAGGGCCAUACUUUCUGGAAAGCUCCCCGAGAUAGACAUGUGGGGCUGAGGGAUCAAAUUGAUGCAUGUUUCCAAUGAUUGGAAUCCCAGGAGGACCAGGGAGAGGAGGAUGAGAUUUUGUUGAAUAUUUCCUGCUGUUUUUCUGAAGAAGAAUCAGGAAAAUUAUGGGAAGAGCUGAAAGUAAAGCAAUGAUCAAUACUAUCUCCAUCACUUCAGGAGGAAGAUUUUC